rnacentral:lncRNA from 1 species
AGGGAAAUAUCUCCUUCAAACCAAAGCAUUGGUGUACAAAAAGAAGUUCUAAAUUGGGUACCUUGUGAAAGAAAUCAAAAGGCAAAGUACCUUUCUCAUUGUUAUCCUCAAAGUAAACUACAAGAAAUUUUAGUUUACAAAGAAGGUCUUGUGGCAAAUGUGCAUAGCUCAUAAGCUUAAUGUUUUCCUCAUUGAAUGCUAAUGCCACGAGUUUGGGAGAAACCUAGAAUUUGAAGUCAAAUAAGUUCGAAAGGUAAUGUGUGCUAGUUAGAUACUAUAAGAGGAAAAUAAUAAUGAAAAGAAGAGAAAGUGUAAAAAGGUAAAGUUCUGAUGCUUCGUUACCUUUUCAACCGACAACAAAGGUUGUUGUAUCGGACUAAUUGAAGCCUCUAUAACUCUUUUUUGACUAUCAUCAAAGUCUGAUGAGAACAACUUCAAAUUAGGACAACAUAUCACAAAUAAGACUUUUAACGAGGGACAUUCCAGAUGAUGCUUUUUAGGGUAAAAGCAACUCAACAGUGGCAUGUUUUCAAGACAUAGAAGGGACAAAACAGGUAAUUCAAACAUUAAUGUCGUUCCAUGUUCCAUUCCAUCUUCCUUUCCAACUAUUUCUAUCAAUUUCUCACACCUUUUCAUUCGAAGUGUCUCAAGCUUCUCAAGAUUUUUUGCAAGGAAUGAAGAGAACAAUGUUACUAGGCUUCCACAAUCUUUAACAACCACUUCUUGCAAAUUGGGAAAGCUGACAAUUCCUCUGGAGUAUUCUUUCCAUACACAUUUCAAAUUUGACAAUUUUUUUAAAGUAAGCUUUUUCAAACAAUAAACUAUUCCCUUCAUCUUGACUUCACUCUCAUCUAUGUCAAAUAUUACUUGUAUUGCAUCAGAACUAUGCACAUUCAAUUCUUCUAAGUUCUUCAAGUAAGGAAGUACAUGAGAGGGAAUUAAAAGAGGUCUAUUAAAUGCUGCAUCAAAUUCCAAUUUCUUGAAACUGCCAAAAAAGUUGUCUGAAAUAGCAGGUUUUUUGUGUUGAACUUUAGUCAUCUCAAGAUAAUAGUCAAGAAUCCUACGCUUUGAAUAGUUGAAAAAAUCCUAAGAGUCAUAGAAACACAACGACAGGUUAAUUGACAAGCAUAUGCUUCGUAUUUAAUUGAAAUCACUUGGAAUUAUCUUUGAUUGUUGAAAACUAUAUAUUUGCAUAAUUAGUUGUGAAAUCUAAAAUGAUCUUAUAUUAAAUUUCACUUUUCUUUUUUAUUUUCUAGUUAAAUUAUUAGUUUAUUGUUUACUUUUUAUAAUGUGUGGUAACCAUUCCAGAUAUAAAAAAGAACAAAAUAACAAUGAAAAAAUGAAAGAUGGUUAAUGGUUUUAGCGUAAUGAAAUUAGGGAUAUUAAGUGGACUUGUGGGGGUUUAACUUUGAAGUAAAAGUUUGUUUUCAUUUCAUUUCCAUAUUCAAUUAGUAUGAACUUUUUAUUUAAUUUCUAUAACAUCCGAUAACAGGUAUACUUAUGUCUAUGUCUAUCCUUGUCCUCUUACCUUUUAACAUGGUUAUGAAAAUGACGAAGAACAUGUGUAUACUCAUCAUCAUACUCAGUCUGAUUACAUCUUCGUCCUCGUGUCCGUUUCAAUUUUAAAUUACUAAAAUAUUUUUAAUUUAUUAAAUCACCUAAAAAGUUUAUAUUAAAUUUAUUUUUAGGUUAUACAUUUGAUUAUGUUAACUCUUUUCUAUAAUUGUUUAACAUCUAUAAUUGUUAUUUGAUACUCUCAUUUGAUAUUUAUAUAUUUAUAAUUUUUUUCUUAAUAUUUGAUAUUUAAAAAAAUAAAAUAUAUAUAUUUGACAUUAAAUACAUGAUAAUAUUAUCUUUCCUUUAUCAUGAUUUUUAGUUUUUUGAAAAUAUUAUUUAAUUAAUAUUUAUAAUAGACCAUGAGUCUGAGAGCCUACGAGGUAGCGGAGAAUUCACUUUCCAAUGAUGUUGUUGUGGAUGGUGCAUAAAUUGGUAGACCUUAUUGACAUUGUAUGAGAGUUCAGGACGUGUGAUAAGAAGAUACUAAAGGGGGCCGACGACAGAGCGAAAUAGUGAAACAUUGUCAAAAGUUGUAGUGUCAUCCCAAGAUAGGCGAGUAGAAGAAACCAUGGGUGUAGGCUAAGAUUUGAAAGUCAUGCCUGAUUUAUGUAAAAGAUCUUUUAUAUAUUUAUUUUUUGAAAGAUGAAGAGAACCAUCAACUGUACACGAGGUUUCUACACUAAGAAAGUAAUGAAGCUUGCCAAGGUCUUUCAGGCCAAAAUGCACAGGAACAUGGUUGAUUUUCAGGCCAAGGUCUUUCAAUAUUCUAAUUUGGUUGAUUUUGUAGAAACAUUACACCUUAGAUCUUUUGGAAAAUAUUUUAAAAUCAAUUCACUCCUUCUCUUCUCUUGUAUUCAAUCAACGUUUCUUGCAACCUUUUCUAGUUUUAUAUUCAUAUCUUUUAAUCGGAAUCUUCUAUAUAUACUGGCUGAGAGCGUAGUUAUCUUUUAAAAAAAUUCAGACAACUGAUGUAAAUAAGAAAUUCUAGAUUUAUUGUAUAGGUAUUACUACAACAUAACAUAGAAUAUCCUUUUUCAACUUUGAUUCGGGAAUCAAUCUUAUUGGAGUAUACAUAAUUCCAAUCAAGAUUACCUAAAUCAUAACACUAAAUGUAUAUAUUUAUUUAUUUUAUUGGCCUGGGUCGUUUAGUUAUGUAUGGUAGAUGUCAUUAUAAAAAUAAUAUGAACCUAAAUCAUAACAUUAUUUUUUCUUUCUUUGCUUUUAUCAAUUUUAAAACCUUUCUUUUUUAUCUAGGAAAAUGACAUUUGAGUAACAAUAGAAGUAAGAAAGAAUGUGUCCAAAAGGUUAUCUUUUGGGUUUAGCAACAUUCUUUGCAAAUAGGAAUGGAGGGGACCAUUUUGCUAUUAAAGAAACUAAUUUCUUGUUUUAUCAUUUUUAUUAAUUAAUGCUUGUCUAAUUUUUUUGAUUGAAUUUAUUAACUGUUGGGCUAAGAUUAGUUUGAAUAUUUAUGUUUUCUUUCAUUAUAAAAUACAAACUAAGUAAUAAUGUCCAUAAUUUCAGAAUUAGUAAGAAAUUAAUAUUUUAUGACAAAAAAAAUGAAAGGUAAUAACUAAUGUAAUAUUCAUCUUCAGGAAAGAAGAAUAUAUUUUGCUUUUAUUUAAUAUUUUUAAUAUACUGUUGAAAAUAAUAUUAUAAAUAUUUUGUAGUAAGAUAUGACAUUAUUGUAGAAAACUCUGUAUACAAUAAUAAAUUAGUUAUUGUUGCAAAAAGUGUGAGGUUUUGGCAUAGACAAGGUCACAUCAUUAAAAUUAGUUAGAUAUUAAAACAUAAUAAUUGAAUUUGGGGAAUGAAGUGUUACCUUUUGGUGAAACAACCUCCGAAUCGUUGUGUUGAGAUCGUCGUUGAAUGUUACAUCAAUAUCCUCUGAUGUUUGAAUCCCCAAUAAAGUUGGAGCUUUUAUGACUCCUUGAGAGAAAGUUUCCAUAUUAGGGCAUUCAGUUACCUUCACUGCUACCAAAGACGAGCAUCGCAAAGUGGCAUUCCCUGAAUAAAAGCUCACUAAACUUGGUAAGCAAUUUAGCUCAAUCAAUGUAAGUUGUCCGAAUACUAUCUCAUCACAAUCAUCUUCAUCUUCAUUUUUUGCAAUUUCUUUUAUUGAUUCACACUCCUCCACAACUAGGCUCUCAAGUUUCACCAAACUUUUGAGUGUUGUAAAUGUGAAUAAAUACUCCAUCUUUUCACAGAGCUUCACAUACAACUGUUUAAGAUUGAUGAAAGACACUGCAAAAUAAACUAUUUUUUCUACUUGAGGACAGUUGCUGAGAUAUAAUAAUUCAAGCUUUUCGGAGUAUGGUUGUACCCAUGGGUGCUCUAAACCUACCCAAUCUAACUCAUUUAGCUGAAGCAAGAAUAAUUCUUUCAAUCUCACAAGUACUGUGUCAUGAACUUGAAGCUUUUGAGAGGGAAAUAUCUCCUUCAGACCAAAGCAGUUUUCUACAACAAGUUCUUCUAAAUUGGGUACCUUGUGAAAGAAAUCAAAAGGCAAAGUAUCUUUCUCAUUGUUAUCAUCCCCAAAGCACAAAGAAAGAUGAUUUAACUUGUAAAGAAGGUCUUGUGGCAAACGUGCAUCGCUCAACAACAUAAUAAUUUUCUCAUUGAGUACCAACUUCUUCAGUUUCGGAGAAGACUAACAAUUGAGGCCAAACAAAUUCAAAAGAAAAAUGCAUAGUUGAUAUUAGAUAGAAGUUAUAGAAGGAAAAUAUAUGAUGAAAAGAAGAGAAAGCACAAAAAUGUAAAAAUGUUAAUGCUUCGUUACCAAUAUUUCAACAGAGAACAAAGGUUGCUGUAGUGGGCUAAUUGGAGCCUCUAUAACUCCUUGAUUCUCACCAUCGUCAAAGUUUGAUGUGAAUAGCUUUAACUUAGGACAAUAUUGCACAUGUAGCGAAUAUAACAAGGGACAUUCCAGAUGAUGUUUUCCAGGAUAAAAGCAACUCAAGAGUGGCAUACUCGAAAAAGUUAGAUGGUACAAACAAGGAAACACAAAUACUGUCAUCCCCGUUUCCAUUGCAUCUUCUUUUUCAACUAUUUCUACCAAUUUAUCACACUCUUGUAUUUCAAGUGUUUUAAGCUUCUCAAGAUUUCUGGCUAGGGAUACAGAAAACAAUGUUACCAAGCUUCCACAACCAUGAACAACCACUUCUUGCAAAUUGGGAAAGCUGACAGUUCCUUCGAGGUUUUCCUUCCAUACACAUUUCAAAUUUUGCAAGUUUUUUAAAGUAAGUUUUUCCAAACGAAAGAAUAUUCUCUUCAUCUUGAUCUCAAUCUCAUCAAUGUCAAAUAUUACCUUCACUGCAUUCGAACUAUGCACAUUCAAUUCUUUUAAGUUCUUCAAGUGAAGAAGGACAUGAGAGGGAAUCAAAACAUCUCUUUUACAUGCUGCAUCGAAUUCCAAUUUCUCUAAACAGUUAAAAAAAUUAUCUGGGAAAACAGGUUUGUCGUGCCGAACACCUUUCGUCUCAGGAUAAUCAAUAAGUCUUGCAUACUUUGAAUAUUCAAAAGAAACCUUGGAAAAGAAGAAAAUGUCAGGAGUAAAUGACAAUCAAUGAUUGAAUGACGAUAUAAAAAGUCUUUAUACUUUGAGUACAUUUAUUUAAUGAAAUCCUUGUGGUAUAUAUACCUUAGAAGAGUGAUGAUUAUUUUAUCAUUAUUCAGAGAGUACGAUAAAGAUCACAGCUUGUAUAGUGAAAUUAUUCUAGAAAUUUGGAUACCAACCAUACUUGAUUAUGCAAACAAGAAACCUAGAGCUAUCAAACUAGGAAAUAAAUCUACUGAAAUCUGUAGAAAAUGACAUACUUGCAUGCUUCAUAUUAUAUAUGCUUCUUUUCAUAGUGAUAUAAUUAUCAGUUACAAACCAAUUGAAUGAAAUUAAUAAUAAAUAUUUUAAUACAUACCUGAUCUGUGAAAUGUUUCUGCAGGGUUGCAUUCAAAUCACCUUCCCAAUACCACUUGUCUUUUUCUUCGGCUGCAACAUGUACUUUCUCUAGGUUUGGAGCACUUUGGACUUCAGAUAAUUUUGUCAUUUGAGGGCAUUCACUCACUACUAAUUUUUCCAGUAGUGGGAAUUUUAAGUCACACUUCUCCACAUUCGAGAAACACUUGAGAUUUUGUAGAGACACCAAUUCUAAUGAUUCUAAUACUUUAAACUCAAUCUCUUCUACUUUUUCCUCAACAUUUUCUGCAACGAUUUCCACAAUCAUUGGACAUGAACUUACUUUCAUCGUUUUGAGUUGAACCAAGGUUUUAGCAGUUGAGGUUGUCAUUAAAUUCCUCAUCAUGCAGUUCCCCACUUCUAAAUAUCUUAAGUAACUAAAAGACACUGAGGACGACGCUAGAUUUCUCAAUUUUUUACAUUGUAGAAUGAUUAAGCAUUUUACCCUUUGAAGAAGCACGUCAUGCUCAAAGCCAAUCUCUUCAAGAGCCCACAUGCAAUUUAACCUAAACUCUUCAAGUUGCAUAACAACACCUAUUUUUUCACGUGAAAUAAGAUUUUCAAAACCCCAAAUCCUUUCCAAGUGACAAAGUUUCAAACUUAAAAUUUUCAAAUUUGGAAGUCUAUGAAGAAACCAAAAGAGAAUUUCACUAUUAUUCAAUCCAAACAAGGUAAGUUCUUCUAGUUUGUGCAUUUUGUGAACAUUAGCAAUGUAUUUCUGCAACCACUCUGCUUCGUUCAAGCUAAAUGACAUAUUUUCCAAGUUGUACAACACCUAAAUAAAUAAAUAAACUUAUCAGUAUCAAAGUAUACGUUUGAACCAUAAUGUAUUAUUUUGCUACAAGAAAUAAAAUACAUAACCUUACAUUCUUGUCAGGCACUGCUAAUUCAUGCUUUUCAUCUAAACAAGGCAUGUUCCAUAUUUCCUAUAGAAAAGCUCUAAAAAGUAACUUUUGUGACUUGGAUCUAAACAAACUUUGUGUACCUUUUCUGUAGCUAAAACAAUUGGUUGCACUGUUGAAUUUAUGAUUUUUGAAGUCAACCCUUCCAACAUGAUACAAUCGACUAUAUCCAAUUCCUUUAAUGCUGGCCACUCUAAAGUGUGAGCUCCUGAGUAGAAACUCCUCAAAUCAUUUAAGUCUAUCAAUGAUAGAGUGUUUAAAUGAGGGAACUUAAAGUUGAUAGCAUCUUCACUUGCAUGUUUGUCCCAAGCAACAAUCUCUUUCAUUGCCCCACAGUCCCUUAUCUUAAGGACUUCCAAUUUUUCUAGGUCAAUUGAAAUAGAAAGUGGAAAGAGAUAUUUUAAAUUUUUACUCUCAUCAACACUUAUGCUUCGCAAAUUAUUAUAUUUAAGUAUUUCACAGGUGUUAUCCUUCCAUACGUGUAUCAAAUUUGGAAGCAUUUCUAGAAAUAUAUUAUCCAAGUUUGUUUCAAUUAUAUCAUAAGAAUGUGGAAUAUUUGUAAAAUCAAAUAUGUUUUCCACCAAGUUGCAAUUUGUAACUGUCAAGCUUUGAAGGUUAUGAAAUCUUUGCCCCAUAUAACAAGGAAAAAUCGUAACAAGUUUAUGACACUCUGUUAUUAUCAAAGAGUCCAAACUACGAAAGGAAUGUAAACCAAUAUGGGAAUUCCAAAUGGUACCGAGGUUCUCCAUGCAAAUGAUCUCUAUUUUCUUCAACUUUGGAAAAACAUCAAUAUACUGUUACAAACAAAAAACGAUUGAUAGGUGCGCAAUUAAAAGACCUAAACAAUUUAUACAAGUAAACAACAAAUGAUAAUAUUAAUCAAAAUCAAUAUUAAAUUAAUCCACACACCUCUUCAUUUUCUGAAGGAAAUAUAUCCUCCAUCAUUUCACAUUCACUUAGAAAAAGGCUUUGAAGAUUCACCAAACUUCCAGCCAUGGAGAGUGAUAGUAAAUACUUUAAAUUACCACAAUCUGUCACGUUCAACGUGAGCAAAUUUUGAAAACAAUGGUCAUAUUGGUCACUCCAUAUCUUCUGGAUGUUGAUUGAGGAUAACUCCAACCAUUCUAAUUUGGGAAUUGAAACCUGUAAGAACACAAAAACUCACAAUAUAUUAUUUUAUUUCUUUUAAAGGAAUAACAACAUACAAAUAAAACAUUACAGACGUAAUUAUGAUAAGGUUAUUACAUACCUUUUCAUUGAAGAGUGGAAGGCAAGAAUUAAUGACCCCGUUCUCGAUGUCAGUGAAAAUAUCUUUGUUCCUGUGUUGCUGUACUCGGUCUUGCAACGAUUGUGCACUAUCAGACAUCUUAUCAAUGGUAUAUAAACAAGUAAAUGUUGGUAAACACUUUAACGUUAAAACUCGUAACUGGGGAAACUCAAUCUUGUCAUCAUGAGUUUGUCUUUCAUCUGAAACUAUCUCCUUCAAAGAAUCACAAUCACAGACUUCAAUUGUUUCAAGCACAGUGAGGAGUCGAACCAUGGAAAAUGGGAAAAGGUUUCCCAAUUUAACACAUGCUUUAAUCUUGAUCACUUUUAAACUACGAAAAGAUGCCUCUACAAGCCGAUUGUCACAUAUUAUCUCCAAAUUAUGCAGUUUGUAAAGCCAUAUGGACUCCAAUUUGGGAAAAGUGAGUAAAGGGUAAAACCGCUCCGCAGGGUUGAUAAUAUACUUAAUGCCAAAAUUGUUUACAAUGGAUAAAUGCUUCAAAUUUGGAAAUCCCUCAACAUUUAAUUCAUAGAAAAUAUCUUGAACAUCGUUGAGUUCCCCCAACAGUAAACAUUCAACAUUUUUUAACAACAUUUUAACCCAUUUUUCUGAAUGAAUAUCAAUACCUUCUUCUAGGUUCAAUGCCAAAAAUUUCACCUCCUCAUACUUGUCAGGGACUUUGAAUUCUCCAACUUUAUUCAAGUUAAGCAAGUUGAAUUCACCAAUGACAAUCUUGUAACUUUUCAAAUUGUCGAAAAACAAGUUUCGUGGAAAAUGGCCAGAACUCUGAAUGUGUAUGUCUAGAUUUUGCAACUGAUUCAAGUUCCUCAACUCAGACAUUCUAGCAUUUCCACUAUUGAUAUUUUCCUCAGCCUCCCAUAGAAUCAGAUUGUCUCUGAUAUAAAGUUCCUCUAAAGUGUUCAUCCUUGGUAUGAUAUUGGACCUUAUUUCUCUUAGUUUUGAACAAUUGCUUAUGUCCAAAAGCUGAAGCUUAUUCAAUUGCCCAAAUUCAAGAGGCAAACUUUCAUAUUUAGACCCAGAAAGAGUAAGGAUUCGUAGAUUCUUUAACUCACCGAUGAUUGAUAGGUUAUUUCCUAGAGUGCAUCUCUCCAAACAAAGUAUUCUUAGUUUUUUUAGGCAUUUAAUUGAUGAAGGUAAGCAAGAUAGAUUAACACCAGUCAAUACCAACACUCUAAGUCGAACCAUAGAUUUAAAAAAGUCAUCUGGUAUUUCGAAAGAUUCACUUUUAUUGUCAAUAUGUAAGACUUCAAGUCUAGGACAAUGUAUACUCUCAGGAAGCUCAUCAUUGAUGUCACAAUAGUGUAAAAAAAUGGCAGUGUACCUUUCAAAGUCAUCUUCGUGAGGCCACUCAUCAAGAAUGGAAUUUUUCAUAAAAAACACAUGUUUUUCUUUAGAUGAUAUUGAAAUAGCAACAUCUCGCACAAUGUCAUGCAUGGUGAAGCGGUCAUCAGAAUAACUCCUCACUAACAAACUCGAUUCUUCUAGCUCAUGUAUAACCUCCUUCACUCUUUUCCUCGCAUCUGUAAUUGUGUGGACUCCUUGCAGCAAAUUCAAACCAAUGCAAAAUUUGACCAAGUCCAUAAUCAAAGCAUCAUGUCCCAUUCUUGCACAAUGUAAGAAAAUACACUUUAGCUGCUCAUUUUUUAGAUGAUCGUAGCUCAACUUGAUAGAGAAGUCAGUAAAUCCCCAUUCUUCUGUAAAACUUUGUCUUUUAAUUUGUUGACAAACAUCCUCCCAUGCGGAUAAGCUUUUAUGCUUUAGUGUCCUUCCUAUGGAAACUAAUGCUAUGGGAAAUCCAGCACUCCAUUUUGCAAUUUCAAUAGCAUUCUCAUCAAACUCAGAAGUUUUUACAUCAGCGACUUUCUUAAGCAAAGUCUCUGCCUCUUUUUUAUCAAGGACUCCCACUGAAAAAGUUGAGCUCUGUUGCACAUCCAUUUGAUUACAUAGUACUUGUUUAUAUCUAGAUGUUAGAAGAACUUUGCCUCCUUUGUAACGCCUGAAUAACUUUUCCUUUUUCAUGCUAUUCAAAUCAACUUUGGACAACUCUUUUUUCUUUGUCUUAUUGUAAGCAAAAUUAGAUAUGUCAUCGUUGUUUCCAAAAUCAGAUAUGUUACUGACCCCUCGUUGGCUUUCAUCAUCAUUACAUGGAAUCCCAAGUUUAUUCAAGUCCAAUCCAUCCCAUAGAUCAUCAAGGAUAAUAAGGGCGUUCUCCUUUUCGUUCUUUAACCUCUUUCUAAUACGAUCUACUCUUGCAAUCUCACUUUCCCCUUCUAAUCUCAUUCCUAGCAUGUCAGCAAUUUGUCCUUGAAUUUUUUUGAAAUCAGGAUUUCUGCUAAUAUUUGCUAUAACCACGGUCUUGAACAACUUCUUUUCUUGAACUAUCUUAGCAACUUCUUUCACUAAAGCGGUCUUACCAACACCACCAGGCCCAUGAACUCCAAUCAUAUCAACAGUAGAGUCUUCCAGUGCUUUCAAAAUCAUCUCCAUAUUUGUAUUUCUAGACGGAAAGCUCUCAUAGCCCAUGUUUGAAAAAGUAGCAUCAAUGGAUGGGCCUUUUUGAUACGAAACAUUGUCAAAUCCUUUCUUCCAAAGUUCAUCUCGUAUGAUUUCCUCUACCUUCUUUGUAGCUUCUCUGCCUAGUUGAUACCUCAGUUGGAAGUUAUUUGGAAAGAAACCAAGUGAGCAAAUUGUCUUUGCAUGAUAUUCAUUGUGAAUAUAGCUUUUGUAUUCUUUUAUCUUCUCAUCCAUCAGCUUUAAGCAACCUUGAACGUCAUUUUCAAUUUCAUCUGCAUUCCUUAGUGCAUCAUCAACUUGAUGUUGUAGCCUCUCCCUAUUAUGUUCCAACUUCUGAAUGUAAGAUUUCAACUCUUUAAAUUUGUCUUUGUAAUUGAAAAAGUAGCCCACUUGUCGUUUGACCACGCGUCCUACAGUUUUCACUGUACUCUCAAUUGUUGUAGAGACAACUGUGUCCAUAUCCCUUCACAAAUGAACACUUUCGUCUUGAUUUUUUUAAUUUUUUCAUAAGUAUUACAAUUGCAAAAUUUCAAAUCAUAAAAGGAAAUUGAUAAAAAACAUCCAGUAAGCAGAACGAAUUUUGAUGACACACUAAAAAGUUCAUAUAAAGAAACAUAGAAACCAAAAAAUGAUUAUAGAUAUUAUAAUAAUUUAUAAAGCAUUACAUGGAAGGCGGAAUUUAACACACUCCAGCAGUCGGUCGUGUGCCACCGCCCAAAGGAGGCAACGUCCCAACCCUUACAAUUCCUCUCUUUUUUUUAUCCUAUUCCAUCUCCAAAUAGGAUUUUCUUUUUCUUUUUCUUUAAUUUGUGGUCCCUCUUUUGUUGAGAGCGGUAGCUUUAUUUUUUUUAUCUUUGUUGGUGUUUAGGAAUAAAAGGUAGAAAAUUAAAUAAGGGAAUAAAAUACUGAAGGAGAAAAAUAUAUUAGGUAAAAUAACGCAGAGCAAGAUAUCAUUAUCUUUCUUACAAUAUACUCUUAACUGGAAAAAAAAAAUUUCUUGUCUGUGUGUCAUGCGGUUGGUACAGUCACUCUCAACCAGCCAACCCAAGCCCCCAAUUAAUAUUGCAAGGAAAGUGCAGCAGCCAAGACUUUUUCCAGUGACCAGAUAAGCGCUAACUACUAGACCAGAGAAGUUCUUUAGUCAUAUUAUCAUUUUUAUUAAACUUAUUAUUAUUAACAUAAUUUAUACAUAUUAAUAUUAUAUUCAUAUUAUUAAUAUUAUAUUCAUAUUAUUAAUAUUAUAUUCAUAUUAUUAAUAUUAUAUUCAUAUUAUUAAUAUUAUAUUCAUAUUAUUAAUAUUAAUAUUGUUAAUAAUAAUAAAUAUAAUAAAAAAUCAUAAUAAAACUAAAGAAUUUGCUUGGUGUAGUGGUUAAAUUUUCUUUGCGUUAUUUGAAGGAAACUGAUUUCAAAUCCCAUUAAUUGCAAAAUUUAUAUUUUGGUGCCAAAAUUUACAUACGGAUUUUGAUCCGUAUGUAAUAAUCCGUAUAUAAUUCGCGUUUUUCUUGUAGUGAACAACUUGAGCAUCUACCUCUUUCACCUGAUUUUUGUUUUUGCAUAUCACUACUUCAUGUCCAUGUUGGUUGCAUUUGGAACAUUUGACAUCAGGUCUUCUCCAACAUUUGAAUGGUGGAUUCUUUCCACAGUGUUGACAAGAUGGAUAGGUUUCUUUAAGCCUUCUCCUUUUCCCUUUUAGUGAUUGCUAAAUGAAUUCUCUUCAUUUGCUCUACAAUUGGUGUUGAGGAAUAAAACAAAGCAAGAUAUCCAUUUGAUGUACCUUUCUAUCUCGAGGUAUGUCAACAAGCUCCCAAGUUUUGUUCUUCUCAAUCAUAUACAACUUAGCCAUGGUUGUUUGCCUUUCAAUUAUUUAGGAGUGCGUAUCUUUGAUGGUGCUCCAAAGAGUCGUUUUCUGCAACCUUUGGCGGAUAAAGUCAAAUUGAAGUUAGCAUCUUGGAAAGGUAAAUCUCUUAGCAUGAUGGGUCAGAUUCAAUUGGUCAAUACGGUGAUUACGGGAAUUCUAGCAUAUAGUUUUAAUUUGUAUAAAUCGCUUGUUUCUCUACUUAAGCAAGUUGAGCAGUGGUGUUGAAAUUUUAUAUGGACUGAAUAUAUUUUGAAGAAAGGCAUAGUUACUGUUAAUUGGGCUACGAUUUGUUCUCCCCUUGAGAAUGGAGGUUUGAAGAUUAUUAACCUUCACCAUGAAAAUAAUGCUUAUAUUUUUAAGCUUGCUUGGAACUUUACUUAUAGCAACAGGUCUUGGUCUUUGCUCUUGAAAGUCAUGGUUCUUAAAUCAAAAUACAAGUUUAAAAUUGUUUAUAGAUCCUCGUGUCUUUGGCCUGGAAUUAAGCAGUUUUAUUCUACUAUACUUUAAUAUACUUCUUGGUACAGGUUCUUUUAUUAAUUUCUGGAAUGAUAAAUGGUGUUCUACUACUCCUUUAGCACAUAUUGCAGGGUUAUUUGAUGGUAUUAGCAUUCCAGAUACAGUUUCUCAGUUUUGGACAGGUUGGGAUUGGAAUAUUUUGUUGUGUUUAGAGCAGAUGCCUCAUCUUUUUAGUCAUAUCAUGGUUAGGGCAAAUCAUGAUGUUCUUAAUUGGAUUCUAGAUAAGUCAUAUCAUUUUUUUUUUGAAUGCCCUAAUGCUUUGUAUAUUUGGAGUUGGGUUCGACAUAUUUUUCCUACUUCUCUUUUCUCUAAUAAGGAUGAUCUUUUUUCUUUUAUUAAGAGUGAUGGUAGUCCUUUGGAUAAAUUGAUUAAGCUUGUUGUGAUAACUUUUUCUAUUUGGAUGUUAUGGUGUAUGAGGAAUUAUGCUCGUUUUCAAGAUAAGAUUGAGGUUUCUAGAGCUAUUUCAGUUAUUAAAGAUUUAACUUGUCUAGUGGGAAAGUCGUUUAAAGCUUCAAUGAAGAAUGAUAUGAUGGAUUUUAGUGUGAUUAAUUUUUUUGGGUAUUAAUACUCUUCUUCCUGUUAGAUGGGAGUUUCCUUCACCAGACUAGGUUAACAUUAACACCGAUGGGGCUACUAGGGGUUAUCGAGGUCUUGCCACUUGUCGAGGUAUUUUCCGUGGGAGUAUGGGGGAGUUUAUUGGACCUUUCUCUGCGUUUCUUGACGUUCAAACUGCUUUGGUUGCUAAAUUUUAUGGAGUUAUAUAUGCUUUGGAGGAAGCUCAAAAGUUGGGACUUACUAAUGUUUGGCUGGAAUAUGAUUUUUCCUUGGUUUGUGUUGCGUUUACUACUAGGACAAAUGUUCAUUGGAUGUUUCGUAAUCGAUGGAAUACUUGUCUUAAUUACUGUAGAAAAAUCAGGUUUAGGGUUACUCAUAUUUUUCGUGAAGGGAAUGCGUGUGCUGAUAAGUUGGAUAAUUUAGGAUUUAUUCAUAAAGAAUCCUUUCAUUGGUAUAAUAGGCUUCCAUCUAGUCUGUUCUUAGAAUUCUUUAUUAAUAUGUAUAGUCUACUUAUGUAUCGUUUUUGUUAACAUAUGGGUUUUGGUCUAGUCCCCCAUAUUUUUGUAUUUUUUUUUAAUAAUACUCUUUUCAUGUGAUGGCAAAUGAUUGUUGUUACUUGAGGUAUUAGCCUAGUUGAGAUGUCAAGUAGCAUAGUGAUGCCUAACAUGAAAGUUUUUUAUAAAAAAAACAUCCUUAAAAUACUCACUACUACAAAAUAUAAAAACAACGACCAUUUAUUUAAUGCAUUUUUACGGUCAGACAUUGUCAUUCAAAAUGCGGUGACAUUUUUUAAAUUAACUUGAUUUAAUAAUGCAGCUAUUACAAAUAGUUGCAUUCUUAAAUAAAGCACUUUAUUUAAGAAUGCGGCUUUACCUAAUCCGCAUUCUUAAAGCAAAGUGCUUUGUUUAAGAAUGUGACUUUACCUAAUAGCCACAUUCUUUAAACAAUUUUUACCCUAACACUGAAGCGCGCCACUUACUCUUUCAUACUUGCUUUCUUCUCUGGCGCUUCGUUUUCUCUUCUGUUUCUGCUUGUGCUUCCUCUUGUCUUCUGCAAGCCUUCAUCGUCUUCUUCGUGACAUUGUAAGUUCGUUUCGAGCUUUUCUUCUUCUUCACCAUUGGUUUAUAUAUUUUUUUCGUUUCUUUUAUUUGUUUCUUUCUUGCAUUGGCGAAGGUCUCCACUGUUUCAUUGGCUGUUUUUGGGUUUAUGUUGUGUCGUAUAUGUUUUGUCACUGUUGUCGUCUCCUUUUCUCACACCCCCACUCCCAUCGAAAUAUUGCAUCGUCGCAACUACCGGAAAACAACCCUGCGCCAUCACCGUCCAACGCAAGCGCAUUCACCAUUGACUUCUGCCCCACAAAAGUGCUCACCAACACGUGUUGUUUCGCCUUGUAGUCCCUUCUCCAAGUAGGGUUUAGGGUUUUAAGUUUUUUUUUUAAUUUUAAAUAAGAAUGUGGUUAUUUACCAUAAUCGUCCUUAUAAAUAUGCAUUUAAAAAUGUGGCUAAAUAGUCGUCUUCUUCUCUGUUGGACAUAAGACUACGUGUAUAUCAAAUGAGACUAAAAAACAAGGGUUUUAAAAUAAAAAUAACUGCCUUCUUAUAACUUUUAUGUACCAGUGACUCUACAUUUAUUUAUUAUUUUUCUGAUAAAAAAAACAAUUUAGAUUUUAACAAUAACCAAACAAGAAAAAGAGACUCAAAAUAUCAUGGCUAAUAAACCGUUUUAUAUUUAAAAGGAUUUGCAUAAUGAAUCAUGACUUUAAGAAGAUAUUAAUAUUUAACAAUAAAUAGAUAUAUCAAUAAGCAUAAGAAGUAAAUUAAAAUAAAAUUGUCAUGACUCUGUUUUAAAAUUCAUAUUAACUUUAGACUUACAAAAUCUAUUAAUAAAUUAAUAGAAAAUGAUAAGUUUUUAAAUAUAUAGGUUAUUCUUAAGUUGAAAUUUUGAAGGGACGUGGAAUUUUUGUGCAAAAGGAUUGAAGCCUUUCGGAUUGACAUAAAAAGAAACAACAAAUAAAGCUUUACAUUCAUAACAGGAGUAAAAAUUGAAAAAAAAUUAACAUAAAUUUUACCUGACUGGUUGGGUUCUCACACAAGCUUCAUCUUUGAAACAUUAACCUUAUAAUAGCUCAAACAAUUCCAACCAGAUGUAACCUAGUAUAUAUGUGUAGUCAUAAUAUGUCAGGUAAGAGUAAUAUUUUUGGAAAUAAUAAAAAUGAUUAAAAUAAAUUGGAAAUAAAAAAUAAGAAAUAAGCUAUAAAGAUUUAUAUUAGAUUGAUGUUACCUUGUAUGAAUUUGAUAGGGUUCCUGGAUAAAGAAGAUGUUGUGGAGUUGGUAAAAUACUUGAGAAAGGCCUGUAAUUAAGAAAAGUUGAAGUUAAAUAAUGAAAAAGGAAGGAAGAGAGAGAGAAAGUUUGUAUGUUGAGUGUACUGUGAGAGAAGAACUUACAGAUUGUGUUGGAUUGAGGUGAUCAAACAAAAAGAGUUUUUCCAGAAGAUGAGAUUGAAGGAGAUUUAGUUGCAAGCUUUAAGACCAUGUGAGAGUGUUAGUGUUGCUCUGCUAUGGAAGAUAAAGGAGGAUGAAUGUAUGUCUACUUCUCUAUAGUCCCUCUGAUUCCUUGUGAUAUAAAACUUUUUACAAGGAACCAUGGAUUUUAGCUCCGUAAAGUUUUUAGAGUUGUUGUUGAUUAGAGAUGUAUGGUGUUUAAAAUAAUAAAAGUAGUUGAUGAUAUGCAAUGAUUGCACCCAUUUAUGAAUUAAAAAGUAAAAAAUAAAAUAAAAUAAUCAUUCCCUAAAAAAUUAUUGAUGAUAUACAAUGAUUGCACCCAUUUAUGAAUUAAAAAGUAAAAUAAAAUAAUCAUUCACUGAAAAAAUUAUUGUAUAAAAAUUAAUUUUAGUGUUAGUAAAUAAUCCUCCAGGAGGUAGAUUGGGGCGUGGAGAUCAGUUCUUCAUGACACCAUCAAUAAUUCAAUUCAUCUUUAAUUAGUAAAUUAAGAAGCACUGGAGCUCAUAGCAUCUUCAGGUGUGAUGUGUGAAGGAAGAGUUUUCUUCUUUUUUUUCUUAUCAGCAAACUAAAUUCAAUAAGAAAGAGAAGGUAGAAUAGAAGGAGUUGGGUAAAAUUGAAUGUUGUUUUGAGGUAACUUGUUGGUUAUAUUUUUGGGUAUGUUUUUUUUCAUUUUUUUCACUUUAUGGUUGUUCUGCUCCAAUCAUAAAGGAGAGUUUCUUUUGUGGAUGAUAUAGAAAGUCUACUUGUGGUUAUUGUAUAUGGGUUGGAAUAGCCCUGAAAUAUUCUUUUUAAUUUUAUUUAUUUAUUGGUGAUAAAAAAAAAGUUUGGUUGUGUAGGGUUUGAUGAUGAAGUUGGGUGUUUGAAGCAUGAGAAGAGGCAAAAAGGUGAGUGAGUGUAUGAGAGUGCUGAUAGAGUUUGAGAAUGAAUAUGAGGAUUGGUAAGGAUAAGGAGAAUGGAUGUAAGGGCUAGCUGUCUCUAGAUCUGAUGUAGAAUAAGUGUUCAUUUUAAAUUUAUAAAAGUUAGCUUGUAAAUCUAAAAAUAUUUAAAAAUAACUAGUUGUAACAUAAAGUAAUAGCAUUCAUUCUUAGAACAAAGUGGAGAGACCUAUAGGGUGGUAGGUGUCUAUGCAAAUAUUUGUUUUUUUAUCAGUAAAUAAUAAAAUAAAUUAGUGAGAUAAGUAUUUCAAUCCUUAUAAAAACUUUACAACCAACCAUCAUGCUUACACAUCCAUAAAUAUUAAAAACCCAAUUCACCCUAACAAAACAUGACUUUUAAAGAUAAACUGCAUAAAAACAGAACCCAAAAAAGCUAGCUACAUUAGAGAAUUAAAAAACAGAAUUAUGCAUUUAAAUCAGCCUAAAAAAAUUAGUGAUUAAUUCUUGGGCUUAGAUGGUAGCUUUAGCCUGGUUCUAGCUUCACUAGCUUCACAUUCCAAUUCCAUCAUAGUCUUACAAGCUAUAGAACUAGCAACUAACCACAAGUGUUAUAUAAGAAACUAUGGAUAGAACAAAAAUUAGCUAUAGAAUCCACCACCCAAAAGCGUUAAAAACCAUAGCAGGGAAAGUAGAUUCCACUUGUGGAAUGGAUGCAGCUAUCUUCCUUAGACUUUCAAAACAGCACCUUCAAUCUUAAGAUUUCCCUGCUGAAGAAAGAAACCAAGUUGCAAAUAUUCAUUUUGUUUGUGUACUACGCAAGAGGCACUCGUUGAGCUCGUUGAAGGUGCCAAGGAUCUAUUGUAUUGGCUAUGAAAUAUACCAUAAAAGUUUUUAUACAAGGCUUCGAGACAUCUCUUAAAUACUUCAGUUAUAUUUAUUUUUUUAUUUUUUAUAAAAAAAUUUAAUUAUAUCUGAAAUUUAAUUAAAAUUAAAAGAGAACAGGUGAACAAUAAAUAGUUAUGGAGAACAUAAAUUUGAUUUUAAUGUAAAUAAAAGUCUAAGAAAAAGUAGAACUGAAUUUGAAUCUUCCCAAAGUGUUUCUUUAUCUCAUAUUGUUGUUGUGGUUUGUUCUCGGACUCGUAUCACGGCAGUGUUGGGUUUGGGCUCACUUCCUAUGUGAAGGCCCAUUCCAACAUUAAUCUUUAGGGUUUUUUCAAAUAAGGGCAGAGCCAGCACACACAGGAGAGAGAGAAAAAGUGAGAAAAAAGAUUAAAGAGAGAGAAAGUUUCGUUCAGCAACUUCCGGCCACCAUCGACUCUUCGUUAACCGUUGGAUCGGGCUGAAAUUUUGUCAGCAGGUUUAUACUGUGUGUAAAUUCAAUCUGACCGAUCGGAUCUUGCAGAAGGUGUUUGAGCAGAGAGAAAUUCAUCUCACACUGCAGCAGCGUUUUUCAGCGUUUCUUUUGAGAACGGGAAUUUUCAGAUUGCUGCUGCGGUUUCUUCCACCGUUGGAUCGGGCUGAAAUUUUGUCAGCAGGUUCAUACCUCGUGGUUCUUCAGUUUAACCGUUCGGAUUGUUCAAAGAUCACUGGAAAAGUGACAUAUAGGCCGCGUACGGUAACUGCAAUUUGUGAAUUUUUCAGGUUCCUUGUUCUCUGUUUUCAUCUCUGUUGUAUUGGUAUUUGGCUGGUCAUUGAGCACAAAUUGUGCUGUGAUUUGAGUCUCUUGUAACCAUAUUUUUGAUCAUAGUGGAACCUUGAUUGACUGGCUUGUGCCCGUGGUUUUUACUUCUCACAUUGAGAAGGUUUUCCACGUUAAAAUUCUUGUGUCUUCUUGAAGUGUGUUUUGUGUUGGUGCCAUUAUUUGCUAUUGCUCCUCACAGAUUCUUGCAAGUUGGGAAAAUUGUUAUCUGCUGCGUAUUGCUCUUGUUGAGAUAUUAUUGUUAUUAUAUUGAAUUUCCCAUCAGAGUGGUAUCAGAGCUCCUUGGUUGGGGCUAUUUGACUGCUUGAAUGAUGGAGGCAAAUACAAAUAAGAUGGUCUGUUUGAACGACACUAACUAUCACUUAUGGAAGGGAAAAAUGAAGGAUCUGCUAUUUGUGAAGAAAUUGCAUCUUCCUGUGUUUGCUACUGAAAAGCCAAAAGACAAGACUGAUGAAGAAUGGAAGUUUGAGCAUCAGCAGGUUUGUGGUUUUAUUCGUCAGUAUGUUGAAGAUAAUGUUUAUAAUCACAUUGCUAAUGAGGAAGAUGCAAAAUCCCUGUGGAAGAAGAUUGAGACUUUGUAUGCUUCUAGUACAGGAAACAAUAAAUUAUAUUUGUUGAAUUCCUUGAUGAAUUUGAGGUAUUUCUAUUUCAGAUCACUUAAAUGAUUUUCAGGGGUUCCGAGAUCAAUUGUCUCAAAUGGGCAUCAAAUUUGAUGAUGAAGUGUUGGGACUAUGGCUACUGAAUACUCUACCAGACUCUUGGGAAACAUUUCGGGUUUCAAUUACAAACUCAUCUCCUGAUGGUGUUGUCUCCUUGGAAAAUGUUAAGAGUAGUGUUCUUAAUGAGGAGAUGAGAAGGAAGGCUCAUGGUACUUCAUCUCAUUCCGAGGUACUUUUCACUGAAAAUAGGGGGAGAAGUCAGAAAAAGGAACUGAAAGGGAGUAAACAGAAUAGCAGAAGUAAGUCCAAGUCCAGAUACAAAAAUGUGGAGUGUCAUUAUUGUCACAAAACCGGGCACAUUCAGAGAAACUGUUUUCUUUGGAAAAAGGAGAACAAGGAUAAGAAAGGAAAGCAGAAGGAGAAACAUCAUGACAAUGAUGAUCGUGUUACUACUGCUAUUUCUGAUGAUGAUCUUAUUAUUCUUCGUGACCAUGAUUCAGUUAAUCUUGUAUCAGAUGAGAGCAUGUGGAUAAUUGACAGUGGUGUUACAUUGCAUGUUACACCAAGGAAGGAGUUCUUCACAUCUUACACUUCUGGUGAUUUUGGAGUGUUGAAGAUGGGUAAUGAUGGUUAAUGAUGGUGUGUCUAAGGUAAUUGGUAUUGCUGAUGUUUGCUUGCAAACCAAUAUGGGAAUGCAGUUGUUGCUUAGAGGAGUCAAACAUGCUCCAGAUGUCCGCUUUAAUUUGCUUUCUGUGCAGAUGCUUGAUGAUAGUGGUUUUGAAAAUCACUUCGGUUUAGGAAAGUGGAAACUCUCUAGAGGUAAUCUCAUCGUGGCCAAAGGGGACAGAAUCAGUAAACUAUAUUGGACAAAAGCUUUGGUUGCUAAAGACAGUGUGAACGCCAUGGAUAUGGACGCUUCUUUGUGGCACCGAAGGCUUAGUCAUAUCAGUGAGAAGGGGCUGAAUUGUUUAGCUAAAAAGGAUGUGCUUUCGGGAUUGAAGAAUGCAGAGUUGGAGAAAUGUUCUCAUUGCAUGGCUGGUAAGCAGACCAGAGUAUCCUUCAAGAAGCAUCCUCCCUCAAAGAAGUCAGAGUUGCUUGAAUUGGUGCAUUCUGAUGUUUGUGGCCCAUUGAAGGUAAAGUCAUUUACUGGUACAAUUUAUUUUGUUACCUUUAUUGAUGAUUGUUCCAGGAAGCUUUGGGUUUAUGCUUUGAAGACAAAGGACCAAGUUCUAGCGAAAUUCAAAGAAUUUCAUGUUUUGGUCGAGAGACAGUCAGGCAAGAAGCUGAAAUGCAUUCGUACUGACAAUGGUGGUGAGUAUUGUGGACCGUUUGAUGCUUAUUGCAAGCAACACGGUAUCAGACAUGAAAAGACUCCUCCUAAAACUCCUCAGUUGAAUGGCUUAGCAGAAAGGAUGAACAGGACACUAAUAGAAAGAGUCAGGUGUAUGCUUUCUAAAGCAAAGUUGCCUAAGCACUUUUGGGGUGAGGCUUUGUACACUGCAGUGCAUGUUAUUAAUUUGAGUCCUGCAAUUGCUUUGAAUGCUGAGGUGCCAGACAAGGUUUGGUUUGGCAAGAAUGUCAAGUAUGAUCAUUUGCGAGUCUUCGGUUGUAAAGCAUAUGUGCAUGUUCCUAAGGAUGAGAGAUCCAAGUUGGACGCGAACACAAGGCAAUGCAUCUUCAUUGGUUAUGGUCAGGAUGAAUUUGGCUACAAGUUCUUUGAUCCGGUUUAGAAGAAGGCAGUGAGAAGCCGUGAUGUGAAGUUCAUGGAAGAUCAAACCAUUGAAGAUAUUGAUAAGACAGAGAAGAUAACAUCUGAGACAGAUAAUAGAUUGUCUAAUGUCGAUCCAGUUCUGAGUGAUGAACAACAUGAUGAUGUUGAUGAUCAGCAACUUGGAGAUGCUUUUGAUGUUCCUAUUGAUGACAGUGAAGAGGAACAUGGGAUGUCACAAGAUGAGGAUCUUGGUGAUGCUCCUGAACCACCUCAAGUUCAAAUUCGGAGGUCUAAUAGGUAGGGGAACCAUCUACUAGGUAUCCUUCUGAUGACUAUGUUACCUUGACGGAUGAAGGAGAACCGGAGUGCUAUCUUGAAGCCAUGGAAAGUGAAGAAAAGAAAAAGUGGUUGGAUGCAAUGCAAGAUGAAAUGAAGUCCUUGCAUGAUAAUCACACUUUUGACUUGGUGAAAUUGCCAAAAGACAAGAAGGCUCUGGAAAACAGGUGGAUUUACAGGGUAAAGCAAGAAAGCAAUUCCACAUCUCCAAGGUAUAAAGCCAGAUUGGUGGUGAAAGGUUUUAGACAGAGAAAAGGCAUUGAUUUCAAUGAGAUUUUUUCUCCUGUGGUGAAGAUGUCAUCCAUUAGAAUUGUGCUGAGUUUGGCUGCUACUCUUGAUUUAGAGGUAGAGCAAAUGGAUGUUAAAACUGCUUUCCUUCAUGGUGAUUUGGAGGAAGAGAUUUACAUGAAGCAACCUGAUGGUUUUCUUGUUGAAGGCAAGGAAGAUCAUGUGUGUAGGCUGAGAAAAAGUCUAUAUGGCUUGAAGCAAGCUCCUCGUCAAUGGUACAAGAAGUUUGAGUCUGUUAUGUGUGAGCAAGGCUACAAGAAGACUACUUCUGAUCAUUGUGUGUUUGUUAAAAAAUUUGCUAAUGAUGAUUUCAUUAUCCUGUUGUUGUAUGUUGAUGACAUUCUUAUUGUUGGGAAAGNNNNNNNNNNNNNNNNNNNNNNNNNNNNNNNNNNNNNNNNNNNNNNNNNNNNNNNNNNNNNNNNNNNNNNNNNNNNNNNNNNNNNNNNNNNNNNNNNNNNNNNNNNNNNNNNNNNNNNNNNNNNNNNNNNACAGGAGAACUAUGUUAAAAGAGUGCUACAGAGGUUCCAGAUGGAAAAUGCUAAGGUGGUAAGCACUCCUCUUGCUACCCAUUUUAAAUUGAGUACAAAACAAAGUCCUUCUUAUGAAUAUGAAAAGUCAGAUAUGCAACGGAUUCCUUAUGCAUCUGCUGUGGGUAGCUUGAUGUAUGCAAUGGUGUGUACAAGACCAGAUAUUGCACAUGUUGUUGGUACAGUCAGUAGAUUUAUGUCUAAUCCAGGUAGAGAGCAUUGGAAUGCUGUGAAAUGGAUUUUAAGGUAUCUUCGUGGUACGACUUGUUUGAGGCUUUGUUUUGGAGGUGAUAAGCCUACCCUUGUGGGUUACACUGAUUCUGAUAUGGGUGGAGACAUAGACUCUAGAAGGUCUACCUCAGGCUACGUGAUUAAAUUUGCAGGUGGAGCUGUGGCAUGGCAAUCCAGAUUACAGAAGUGUGUUGCAUUGUCCACUACUGAGGCAGAGUUCAUUGCCAUUACAGAAGCUUGCAAGGAGUUGUUGUGGGUGAAGAAACUCCUGCAAGAGCUUAGUUUUGUUCAAGACAAGUACUUGCUAUUUUGUGAUAGUCAGAGUGCAAUUUAUCUUGGUAAGAAUUCAACUUUCCAUUCUAGGUCCAAGCAUAUUGAUGUGAGGUAUCAUUGGAUACGCGAUGCUUUGGAAGCUAGGUUACUGGAGUUGGCAAAAGUUCAUACAGAUGAUAAUUGUGCUGAUAUGAUGACAAAGUCACUACCGAGGAGCAAGUCUGAAACUUGUUGCAAGAUUGCCGGUUUGGCAAUCAUCUCCACAUAGUUGUGAGGGGGAGAUUUGUUGGGUUUGGGCUCACUUCCUAUGUGGAGGCCCAUUCCAACAUUAACCUUUAGGGUUUUUUCAAACAGGGGCAGAGCCAGCACACACAGGAGAGAGAGAAAAAGUGAGAGAAAAAGAGAGAAAAGAUUAAAGAGAGAAAUUCAUCUCACACUUACAGCUACCAUCGACUCUUCGUUAACCGUUGGAUCGGGCUGAAAUUUUGUCAGCAGGUUUAUACUGUGUGUAAAUUCAAUCUGACCGAUCGGAUCUUGCAGAAGGUGUUUGAGCAGAGAGAAAUUCAUCUCACACUGCAGCAGCGUUUUUCAGCGUUUCUUUUGAGAACGGUAAUUUUCAGAUUGCUGCUGCGGUUUCUUCCACCGUUGGAUCGGGCUGAAAUUUUGUCAGCAGGUUCAUACCUCGUGGUUCUUCAGUUUAACCGUUCGGAUUGUUCAAAGAUCACUGGAAAAGUGACAUAUAGGCCGCGUACGGUAACUGCAAUUUGUGAAUUUUUCAGGUUCCUUGUUCUCUGUUUUCAUCUCUGUUGUAUUGGUAUUUGGCUGGUCAUUGAGCACAAAUUGUGCUGUGAUUUGAGUCUCUUGUAACCAUAUUUUUUAUCAUAGUGGAACCUUGAUUGACUGGCUUGUGCCCGUGGUUUUUACUUCUCACAUUGAGAAGGUUUUCUAUGUUAAAAUUCUUGUGUCUUCUUGAAGUGUGUUUUGUGUUGCUGCCAUUAUUUGCUAUUGCUUCUCACAGAUUCUUGCAAGUUGGGGAAAUUGUUAUCCGCUGCGUAUUGCUCUUGUUGAGAUAUUAUUGUUAUUAUAUUGAACUUCCCAUCAGGCAGCAGAGAAGACGAAGAGUUUUUCUUCAGGGAGUGUUUCUACCGAAAAUUAAUUUGGGCAGUGUAAAGAGAAAGAAAUUGGUUUUAAGUCCUCAAACGGAAGAAAUUGGUUUUGAGGUUAGGGAAGGCGAUGAACAGAGGGAACAAAACCUCAUUCUUGAAGGUGCAGGCACAAGAUUCUGCAGCGGAGUAAGAGAAGGGAGUGGAGUGAUUGAAGAAGAGUCGGUCACACCACAAAGGGUUCUGAGACAUAGAAGGUGGCAAGUUUUUUCAGGUUUGGAAAUUCUCCAUUUGGAGCAAAACAGUUCAUCCAGAUUAGUCUCAAAAUUUAUUUACCAAACUGUUUCUGAUAGCAAGAUUAAUUGCAAUAGACGUUUUUGGGUCUACUUAGAUAUCGGUGAACCAAUUAAACUCUGGGAGUUGGGGAAGCAAAUCGGUAUAACAUGUUGCAGGGACGAGGAAUAAGUAAUUAGUAAAUUGGAACGAAUGGAAGAUAGAGAUCAAGAGGGUAAGAUUAGAAGUGUGGAUGGGAAUCAAAAUUAUGUCUUCUGAUAAUUGUAAACUUCAACAUAAGAGCGUACUAAAGCUAGGUAUCUGCAACAAAUUAUUUCUAAAGAAGACACAAAUCUCGUGUGUUUACAAGAAACUAAAACUAAUGAAAUGGCCGAUACAAGAUGUUUUACCAUGUGAGGGUAUAAUAAUAUAGGAUGAUGAAGGGGAAAAUGGUGUUGGAAGCAUACUAACAAUAUGACACAAAGAAGCUUUUCAAUGUGAUGAUCAUGAAGUUGGAAAAGGUUUUAUUUUUGUUAAUGACAAACACCUAAAAUCAAACACACAAGUAUCAACUGUUAAUGUGUAUGUUUCAUGUAAUCCGCAAGACAAGGUUGCACUUUGGGAGGAAUUAACAUGUAUAAAAGAAGUCCAAGAGAAUAUCACUUCAAAUGUUAGAUAAAUUGAGGAGUUGGAGGAAAAGGAUGAUAUUAGGGAGCUAGAGGACAAUUUAAAGUUAAAAAGAAUGGAAUUAGUUAGUCAAUUGAGUAUUGUUGAGAAAAAGAUUGAGUCGUUGUUAUGCCAAAAGGUGAGGAUGAGCUGGCUUAUACAUGGUGAUAUGAACUCAAAAUAUUUAUUAGAUGAAGAAGUAUGAGAAGAGGAUGUAAGAAGAGAUGGAAAAAACUCUUUGAAGAAAUAUUCAGUGCAACAAAAGAUUUUGGAGUAAGGUCCUUAAUGUUAGGUUUAAUAGUGCCAAAGUUCAAGAGGGGGGGGGGGUGAAUUGACCUUUUAAAUCUUUCUCGCAGAAUCAGUGUUUAACACAGUUUACAGAAAAUAAAUCGAUUUAAGUGAAAAUGAACAGAUUUAUUUUGGCACUGUUUGUGUUUGAAAAACGUUUAUACAGCAAGGUUAAUCACAAGAUUAUGCAGAUAGAUUUUCCAGAUGCACACACACUGAUAUUAGAACGAAAACUAGUGAAACACAAAACAACAAACUUCAAUUUCAAGCAAGUGAUUAAGGUUCGAUUGAUAGCAUGCCAAUUAAUUGAGUAACCUUUACAAUCAACCUGUUCCAGUGACUUUUAACAAAUUAUAAGUGUUCUUCUUGAAAUCAAACAGUUUUCCAGAAAUUAAGAACAGUGAAUCACAGAACAACAAGCUUCAAUUUUAAGCAAUUGAUUAAGGUUCAAUUAAUAGCUUUGACAAUUUCUUGAGCAACCUAUCACAAUCAAUCUGUUCCAGUGGCUUUUAACAAAUUUUUAUAUGUUCUUAUCAGAAUCAAACAACUUUCCCAGAAAUUAAGAACAGGAUGAAACGAGCCCAGAAAAAACAGAUUUAUUAAUGAUUGAACAGAUUUAUUUCUUUGUUGUUUUAACAGUUAUGCAAAAACUUAAGUGCAGAGAUUAAAAGAGAAUGAACACGAGGCAAUUAUACUGGUUCACUCCACUGAGCUACAUCCAGUCUUCACCUAAACCAAGGUGAAGUUCACUAAAUCACAAUACAAACAAACUAAAUUCCCACUGUUCUUGAAACCUACAAGAACGUAGGUACUCUUGCUGAAAAAACCUAUUUCAGCUCACACACACUCUUCAAGAAAACCUAUCAAGAAGAGUGUUCAACCAAACUAUUACAAGAAAUGAAAAGUGAAACGACUACACCUGAUUGAGGAUACAAAGAUCUGCCUUAAACCAGUAGGCAAGAUUGCUAGAACAGUAGCAGCACCUCACACCAAGCUUUUGGAACCAAACAAGAACAAGCACUUUGUGAUUUUCGAAAUCUUUGAAGAACAAAUGCUAAUCCUUUGUAAACUCUUAAUUCUCUAUUGUAAAACUUGUUUUUACAAAUGUAUGAACGAUGUUUAAACUCAGAAACAAGUUUUCCUUUUAUAGAAAACCAACUUAUAACAGAAUUUUAAAAAACAGUUAAAGCUGUUAUNNNNNNNNNNNNNNNNNNNNNNNNNNNNNNNNNNNNNNNNNNNNNNNNNNNNNNNNNNNNNNNNNNNNNNNNNNNNNNNNNNNNNNNNNNNNNNNNNNNNUUUUUCAAAACGAAAACAGAAAAGCUUAACUAUUUAAACACAGUCGUUUUGAAAGGUAGAAGACUUAGUCAAAAUACAUGAUGCACAAAAUCUAAUUUUCACAAGACUUAGCCAAGGCAUCAGUUUAAAAAAGAAUUUGUUUAUUUAGAAAAGAACAGAUUUAUUUUUAUGCAGUAAACGUGUUUUUUGUAAAACAUGUGAAAAACAGUUUAAGAAAACUUAUGUUUGUUCUUAUCACAUGGCCAGUGGUUAUGAGGUGAGUUACUCAGCAAAAAGCCCACUCUUAAACAACCUCUAAGCACUACCUAAGACACACUUAAAGCAAAGCAAAAUACACAUGAAAUGUACAUAGAAGUCUUCAUAAACGCAUGUCUUGAAGGAGCAACAACCAUCUUCAACACUUAAAACUAUUUUUAUUGAGGAAAAUGUAAGCCUAAUAUUCAAUUUUAUAGAGGAUGAAGUUAGGGCAGCGAUGUGGCAGUGUGACGACUCAAAAAGCUCGGGACUUGAUGGUUUUAAUUUAAACUUUAUCAAGAAUAGCUGGGAAUCUCUUAAAGAAUAUAUUAUGUCAAUGGUAAUCCACCUCCAGAACACGGGUAAUAUUCCAAAAGAGUGUAAUGACUUAUUCAUAACAUUAGUAGCUAAAGUUUGGGAUCCCCUAAAGUUGGACCAUUUUAGACCGAUUUCAUUUCUUGGAGCUUUGUAUAAAAUUAUUUCUAAAGUGUUAUCGUGUAGGUUGCAAGGUUGUUAAACUUGCGAGUCUACGUAGACUCGUGGGAGCUCCGUAGACUCGUAAGAGUUUACUUUCAUAUUAAAAAUAAAUUAAUAGUAAAUAACUACAUUUAGUCCUGAAUGAAAAUACAUACAUCAUUUUGCUGCUUAAUUAAAUAAAAUAAAAAUCAAAUUUAGAACCUAUCUUCUAUUCUGCAGCCCAAUAAAAAAAACAUAACCCUAAUCCCCUAAAUCACACUACAUAAAAAUGCAACCCUAAUUUCACACCACCAUCUCUAACCUUAUACAAAGAAACGUCACUAACCGCAUGAACCACCUACAACCAGCUAACUCAGACCAGACUCGCGAUUUUACUCUGAUUUUACCAAUUCACUCCGAGUCUUCCGAGUUUACUCAAGAUUCGAGUAUACAACUGAGUUAACUCGCUAAGAGCAUGUGGACAUGUAAACUCAGACGAGUCUACGAGUUGACUUGCGAGUUUAACAACCUUGGUAGGUUGAAGAAAGUAUUACAUGGUGUUAUUGAUGAAUAUCAAUUUGCUUUCUUGAAAAAAAGAGGGAUGUUGGACAGGGUAAUUACAGCUAAUGUGGUUGUAGAAUAUCUCAGGAGGCUUGGUAAAAGUGGGUUGUGUAUCAAAAUGAACUAUGAAAAGACAUAUGACUUAGUUAAGUGAGUUUUUUUUCAAUAUGAUACAAUGUUUAGGCUUGGUUUCAAUGACAAAUGAGUCACUAGGAUCAAAGGAUGCUUGUAAUCAGUAUCAAUGUCAGUUCUGGUUAAUGGUAGUUGACGCUAGAAUUUAAACCAACUAGGAAUUUGAGACGGGAUAACCCUUUAACUCCUCUUUUUGUUCAUAAUGUGAUUAAGAAAUUAGCUGGAUUUGUAAGAGAAACUAUUAAGGCUAAUCUACUUAAAGAGAUGAAAUUAAAAAGGAUAAAAUUAAGCAAUCCUAACACGACAAGAAAUAAUAUCAAUAACUUUAAAAAAAAAAAAAAAUGACACUAAAUAGUUAAAAACGUUAACCCAGUCUCCCCACACUAACUCAAUGGACAUUAUUGUAUUAGAGUCUCUUUAAUAAACAACACAACUAACGUCACACAAGUCUUACCUAAAAUAAAAAAAGAUAGUGUCAAUUAAACGACAAAAAAAAAAUUAAACCGAAUUUAAAUAAACAAUAAAAAAAAAUGCUAACGUCCUUGCUGUUGGGACACUAUUAUUUAUAUGAAAAUAAAUUAAUUAAUUAAGGGUGGCUGGUGUGAGAAACUACGUACACUUGGAGGCAAAAAUAAAAUGUGGGUUUCUGUACCUUUUUUACUUUUGAUUUUGAAUAAAUGAAAAAUAAAGUGUGGGUUUCUGUAUCUUUUCUACUUUUACUUGAAUAAAUGAUGAAAUUAUAUUCUUUUACUUAUUAUAUGCUACUUUUUACCUUUACAAUUAUGCUACUUUACAGCCCAAAAAAUUAAAUAAAAUAAGAUUAUUUUUGAGUCUUCUCUCUCUAUUUCUCUUCCUAAUUUCCAUCCCUAUAUUGAAUAACCAAUAUAUAUUUUUAAUAAAUAAUAUACUUAAUAAUUGAUUAAAAUAAAUAAAUCUAUAAAAUCACUAGGACUUAUACGAAAACAAAAGCUGUCAUCACCAAUACCCAAUUACCAAUAAUUAUUUAUAUACAUUAUUUCCAAAUUAUUCAAAUUUAAUUUUAAUAAAUAGUACACUUAAUAAUUAAUUAAAAUAGAUAAAUAAAUCUAUGAAACCACCAAAUAAAACUUAUAUCACCUGUAAAUUGUUGUGAAUUUACUUUUCAAUAUGAAAUUAAUAUCGAAUUUCAGUUAUAAAUUAUAACUGCAAUUUUUCUGAAUAAUCCAAAUAUAAAUUAUGUAAAUUCUAUUAUAAAAAAUUAUUUAUUUACAUACUAAUAUUUUAUAUACAGAUCAUUAUAUAUGAAUUUGAAUUUAUAUCUAAAAUAUAAAAUAUAUGUAAAAUGAACUUUAUAUAUAAAUAUUUACUUAAAGAGUAUGUAUACAGAUUUUUUUAAUACGAAUUUAAACGGUAUAUAAUUUUGGUGUUAUAAAACGUAAAUAAUUACAUUUAGAUUAUAUCCUUAUAUUAAAUACUAAAUACAGAAUUAAAAAAAUAAAAUGUUCAGAGCAAAUCGAAACCCACUACCCAAAUUUUCCCUAUCUUUCCAAAAUUGAAACUCAUUGCCCAAAUGAAAUCCCUAAUAUUCAAAGAUGAAAACCCAAAAUCCCACAAGGAACCCUCACAACCCUUACAAAGAUCGCUCACUCUCGUCAACCCUUCUCAUUAUUUCUCUUUCGAAACCCUCACACAGACUCCUUACUCUGUCGAGGGCCUCGCCGUGAAGAGGGGGAGAAUAAGUCUCAGUGACGAAGCUUGGACGUUCGGUGAAAGAGGUCAGAAUCCGAAGCUUGGAACACAUCUACCUCCACUCCCUUCCUCGAACCCGGUUCAAGGCCUUCAUUGUGGUUGGUGACUAUAACGGUACAUGGGUCUCGGUGUCAAGUGUAGCAAGGAGGUGGGCACCUCUAUUCGUGGAGCCAUCACUCUAGCGAAACUUUUUGUUAUCCCCAUUAGCAGAGUGUACUAGGGAACAAGAUCGAAAAACCCCACACCAUUCCGUGCAAGGUUACGGGUAAAUGCGGGUCUGUUACUAUGAGGAUGGUUCCCGUGCCUCAGGGUUUGGGAAUCGUGGCGACUAUGGUUCUUAAGAAGUUGUUGUAGUUCACGACCAUCUUUUCACAUCCUCUAGAGGAUCCACCAAGAGUUUGUGUUAUUUUUGUUAGAAUGCGUGGCAAAAACAAGAGUGGAUAAAUUGUUUUCACAAUAUUUUCUCAAAGAUUGAAAAUAGAAUGAAAAGUUUUGAAAAAUCAACCAAAUUUUGUUCAACAGGAUAAAAUCAACUAGUUGUUGAAACAACAGAUAGUUUAUACCAGCAAAUAAUGAACAUAUUGUAAAAUAGUGUAUAAGAGAAGGGAUAAAUAGAUUCAUACAAAGAGGUUUAUACUAGUUCAUUCUUAACCAAGAGCUACAUCCAAUCUUCAACUAACCACUAAGAAUUCACUAUGUAAUCAAACUAGAUUACAAAACACACACUAAAAGUGAUGAUCUUGAACCCUUCAAGAACAUACAUCACUCCUUGAGAACACCACAGUUUUCAAAAACCCUUUAUGAAACUUUCUUACACAAAUUACACAAAUUAGAGUAUUCAAAAUGAAGGAAAUAGAGUACAUUUGGGUUUUACAAAGCAGUAGUACAUAAGUAUAGAAAACCUAGUCCUAUUCCACACCCGAGUGAUGAUCUAAAGCUUUUGAUCUCUUGAAAACGUUUUUAAUAAUUUCUCUUUCUUAGGUUCUUGAAAAGAUCAUAAAAUAGUCUUUAUAUAGACUUAAGGAAGUGAUAAAUCAAAAUAAGUUAGAAUCAUUUAAAAACAGUUUAGAAAUAUUAACAAAAUUUCGUUAUAAAAACAACAAAUUGUUUUUCAAAACAACAAAUUGUUUUUCAAAACAACAAAUUGAAAUAGGUUUCUGUUAAGGAUUUCAAAUAAAAGAGUCAGUUGUUUUAUCGAAAUCGAAAUAACGAUAUAACAAAGACAAAAAUAAAGCAAAGUUUUUCCAAAACAUUUUGAAAAUCACUAAGUGUCAAACAACCAGUUGUUUCGACAAUUCAAUAGGGUGAAAAACUUGCUUUAGCCUCAAUACCUUUGAGUAAAAGCUUUUUCAACUGGUUGAUUUGAAGAACAACUUACUAAAAUUUCUCAACUUUUAAGAAAAUAGUUCCUUUAAAAUAGAUAAAGAGUCAAGUGAGUUAGGAUGAAUACAAGGUGUGAAUUAACAAGUCAAAAACUAUUAAACCACACACAAACACAACUACAGGUUCUUCAAGUAUUCUAAAUAAAUUUAGAGGCAUCAAAACAUCUUGUUCAACACUUUUCUGUUGCAAAUGUCUCUUUUAGAAUUAUGAAUUUGAAAAAUUUACUUACUAAUGACUGUUUUGAAUGUGACGAAUAUUAAAUACUUCUUGAGUGAUGCUUUAUGAUGCGAUUGUGGAAAUUGAAAAAAUUGUGAUUUGUUUUGUCCAAGUUCUUCUUAAGGAAGUGUUGAUGAUGGACUUGUUUUGAAGGGUUUUCUGAAUUAACUGUUUUUAGGAACAAUGAUUAUUUUGGUUUUUGUUAGAUGUUUGUUAUCUAUGAAUGAUUUUUUUAUAAGAAUGUUUUAAAAUCAAUGUCCCAUGUUCAUGUGCUUUCGGAUAGUGUUUUUUAAAGUCUUGAAUAAGGCGAAAACACUUAUUUGUUUAAGAUUGCUAAUGUUUAUGAUAAGCUGGCACCUACCAUGUUUGCUUGAAAUUAUUUAUUUAUUGUGUAUAGUUUUUCUUUCUCUAGGUAUAUAUGGUCCUUGGUGAGGAGGUUUGAUCAUAGACUUAGGGUAUGAAUACAUCCUUACAACGUAGCUGGAUUUAUGUAUUUAUUUUGAAUUUACUUUGCCUAAAAUCUUAUGCUGGUGUGAAGUCUUUGUUAGAUGAUUUGAUGUAUACAUUGCGUUUCAGUCUAGUAAUUGACUCAAUGAUUUGGUCUAUACUUACAUUCUUCCAAUAACAAUAAAUAUGUCAGACACUUUUAGCUGUAACCAACAUUGCAAAUGCUGGCCUUUAUUUGGGGACUCGGGAAUCACUUGUUUUUUUCCUAUCAAAGUCGAUAGUGGCCACACGUGGAAAAUUUUAAUCUUUUUCCACUGAAACAUAUUUUAUUGUAUGUUUAUUUGCAUUUGAAGUCGUGAAUCAACUUGUUAUCAAAUGGCCUUAAAUAACUUAUCUUGUGGCUUAAAAAUUUAUUAAAAACCUGAUAUAAUAUUUUUUUUUCUGACUGCAGGCACAAGUAGAUUAGCUAAAGAGGACAGAAUGAAUUUGGUUAGAUAUGCCCAGUGUUAUCAUGUGAAUUCUUAAAAGAUAAUAAUUUAUUGUUAUAUUAUUUUAAUCUUUAAAUUUAAUACUUAUUAUCACUUCGAUUUUUAAAAAUUUGUUUUGAUAUUUUGCAUGUUUAUUGUUCGAUGUACAUACAUUUAAGUUAAAUUAUUUUCCUUUAAGUUUUAAAUAUUAAAGUAAUAUAUACAUAUAUAUAUAUAUAUAAUUAAUGAUAAUUUGAUAAACGAACAAGUCUUUAAUGUAGAAAGUAUUACUACAUAAUACCGAUGGUUCUAUAUAUUAUCCUGUGAUGGAUUAAUUAUAGUUUUUCAUAUAAAAUUGCUUUUGAUUUUCUUGUUGCUUCUUUGCUUGAGAUUUAUGCAAGACCCUUGGUAUGUUUGAGUGGAUAGCAAAUGAGGAGAGAGACAUUUUCAACUUUUGUUUCUAAAAGCAAACUUUCUUCAUCCAAAGAAAAGAAAAUAUAUUGUUAUAUUGAAACUCAACUGGUUCUAGGAUUCUCCAAGUUAUUAUUGUUGUUUUUAUAUGCUCAUUUGUAUAACCUUUGCUAGUGUAGUUAAGUUGUUGCUUUUUACAUUGUUAUGUAAACCUGGUUGUUGUGUCCAUUUCUUUUUUAAAUUAAUUAUAACAACUUUUUUGUUUUAUAAUUUGUGGAAUUUCUCAGUGCAGCUGAUGUGAAAGAUUGAAAGCAAAACAAUGAAAAACAUGCAUUUCUUAGUGGCAGCUCCAUUGACGACUUCUUCGAACUCCAUUUAGGAUUUAUUAAAAUGAAAAUAUAGAAAAAGGUUAUAGAGAAUAAUACCAAUACUACUAACGAACCAUAUCUGGUUAUAGUUCAAUAUUUAUCCCAAUUAGUCAAUAUAAUUUCUUAAGCUUUUUUUGCAUUAAUUAUAAUCCUUAAUUUUAUUCAAACAAAUUUUUUAUUACUUUUGUAUCUUUAAGUAACAAUAGGAUGAGAUGUGUUAAUUUUAAGAUUAGAUGAAUAUUGUUUUCUAAAGACAUCUAUCAAAGGAGAAAAUAGAUUAUUUUGUGAAGUAUUUGCAGAAAAUUGGAGACAAAAAAAAAUUUGUAGUGUAUUAUGGUGUGUCAGUGGUCAUUAGGCUUGUGGUUUUCAUGCGAAUUUGUACAAGUCUAGGUCUAUUCACUUCUUAAACAUUACCAUGUACAUUCCUCCACCCUUCUUCCAAUAUGUUGUAUGGAAUGAUUUAUGAUUCCCAAAAGUCAUUGUUACAUACAGAUUUUGAACCCAUAUGUAACAAUUAUUUAUAACAGUUUUACAUACGGAUUUUGUCUCUUAUAUACGGAUUGGUGUUGUAUGUAAUACAAAAUUUUCUUGUAGUGUCCAAAUUUCAAUUUGCAAUCAAAUCAAAUUAGUAGUUCAUUAAAACACGGUUUCUUUUUAUCAGCAAAAAACAAUAUAUACAUAAGAAUCACUUCAUGGUUGAUCCGACUCAUACAAAAAAUCUGAGACGAUUAUACAACACAACACCUUCCAACACAACACUUGUAGUUUUUUCCAACAAUCAAUCCAAAUAUCAACUUGGAAUCAAAAUGAAAUUUCAAGAACAAACAAUUUUUUUAAACAACCAAUAUAAAUAUCAAUUUGCAAUGAAAAUGGAAUUUCAAGUAUAGUAGCUGAAAAAAAUUUUAACAGCCAAUCCAAAUUUGAAUUUGCAAUAAUAUUGAAGUUCAAUUAUAACACCUCUAAUUGGUUUCAAUGUGAAUGCAAUAUUUAAUGAAAAGUUAAUAUCAGUUAUACCAAUUGUAAAGGAAAAUGUCAUUUGAAACUGAAAUAAAACUUGCUCUUUAUGGUUUUAAUUGACUAAAAGUAGUAAAGAAUGUCAUAAGCAUAAGAUGAACUAAGAACAAAAAAUUAAAAUUUUGGUACAUAUAUGAUUGUUGCAAAGAGCAUAUUGGUUGAUUGUUGCAAAGAGCAUAUUGGAAUGUGUACCGGAAAAACCGGUAUAAAUAAUGAGAAUAAAUAAAAUAAAUUGAGUAUUAGUAUGAGAUUAAUGAAUGGAGUAAUACCAACACAAAAACAUAUUGAACCUGAAACAUAAAAUUUUGAAUUUAUUAACAUAUUGAACCUGAAACAUAAAAUUUUGAAAUUAGUCAAAUAAAUUGAAGACAUGCAUAUUAGUUAAUUUUACUUACAAAAUUAUGCAACUCUUUGAUGAAGUGCUAUAACAUUGACCUUUACUCUUUGAUGAAAACUUUUGCAUUAUCUACAAAGGUUAUGUCUGAUGGAAGAGAUUAGGUUUACUACAUCAUACAUUAAACUAAAAUUUAAAUUUUUAUAUAAAAUAUUACGUGUACAUGUUUCAAUAUUUCUCUAUUUGUUUACAUAAUUGAUUUUUAUUAUUGAAACGCAUAAAAAACGUUUUUUUAUGGUUUUUUCAAUGCUUUUUUGCAUGAUUUUCAAUAAACCUUUUUUUAACCGGUACUUCUAGAAUCUUGGUUAGAAAAUCCCAUUUUAAAAAUACUUGCGACAAAUCCAAAGAUGAAAGUGUUGCAUUUAAAUUAGAAAAUUAAAAAGCAAAACAAAAUUCCUUUUACUAAAAGGGCAAACUAAUAAUUUCCUUAAGACAAAAAACAGUUUAAGUUCCAGACAAUAUUUUAUUAUUCAACAACAAAAAAUACAAUAUUUUAUUACACAUGUAGUGACUCAUCCUUCUGAUCAAAAACCCAUAUUCUUGUAUCACUUUGAAUUCAGGCAUCAAACAAUUACAACAAAAAUGUAACAUGCCCCAUUGAUAUCACUAAUUUCUAACUAUGACAUACAUACCAACCACAAGAAUAGGGUAUUAGAGUGGAAGGUUUUUUUAUUAAAUCAAAAGCAGCCAUUUAGACAAGGCAACUGAAUAGUGUUAGAGAAUAAAUAAAGGGCAUAGAAGCAGAGAAGCAUAGACAAAGUGUAAACUUGAGAAUGAAAAUGUAUUCGUGAAGGUUUUGAGGAAUACUGGAUAGAGCUUUAAAGGACAGUUCAAGCUGGCAGAUUGCAAAUAAUUGCUUUAUAUUUUAUCUUAUUUUUUACAAUCUAAAUACAUAAGAUGAUGUUGGGGUUCUAAUCAAUCAUUAGAUAAUUCCUAUUUCUUAAACAACAUAAGGCAUAUGAUCAUACUCCAAGUCACUUGGGCUGCCUUGCCUACACACAUAAUUAAUAUAUAUAUAUAUAUAUAUAUAUAUAGACCUGACAUAUUCAGCUCAAAAUUCAGGAAGUAGCGAAACAAAAUUAAAAUUUAGCUUCAAAGAAGAUAUUGUCUUGAUCGAUUCAUGCAAUUCAUGAAUAGAAAUACAGUUAUUUGAUAAGCAUAUAAGUAAAUUCAAUACAAACAAGCAUUGGUGUGGCUUACUUGAUGAUGAUUUGUGUAUCUAAACUUCCACUGGACUGUGAUGCGUAAGAUAAAAAUCCUCCUUGCUUUGCAUCUACAUCUUUAAAAAAUAAUUAUUAGAUUAUUUUUCAUCAAAAACACUAUGGUUGUUUCCUAUGGCUGUUUCAGUUGAGGAAUUUGGUCACGAGAGUUAUCUUUAUGAAAAUUUGAACAACCAGUUUUUUAAUGCCAAUGUUUCCUAUAACUUGAGUUCAGUAUUGAUUCUAUGUUAAUACAAAUUUAUUUUAAUCAUGUAGAAGUUGCUAUUAUCAGUGAUAGCAUCACUUUACAUAGUAAUGUUAGCAAUGGAGAUGCUAGUACUAGAAUUAUGAAAAUGAUGGGCUUGAAGAAAUCAACCAAACCCUGCCCUCUAGCUUCUACAGAAUGCAUUGCUGUAAAGUUCAAGAAGGUCAAGAAGAGGAUUUGUGUAGAUGCCUAAAAAUUUCAAUUCUCUCUGUCCUACUUGAAACAAUUUCUAUAGCCACAAAUUACAAAAUGAUGCCCUUACUACUAAUUGUGUCUUUAUCGUAUAUAUUGUUUUUUUUGCAGUUGGCUAGAGGAAUAAUUGUCCAUUUUGAAAAGGGAGGAAAAACAAUGUAAGUAAUGUUUAAUAAGUUCUACUCUACAUGAUGCUGCUAAGAAUUUUCCUUUCCAGUCGUAAGAGAAUUUUUCACUUCAUCAAAGUUGGGUCUAGACAAUAUUAUGCUGCCAAUAAGAGAUUCAGCAGCACCACUUAAACUUUUCCUCCCAACUAAAGAUUGCCAGAGUCCUCCAAUACAGAGCCUCCAAUUUUAACCCUCAGUAAUGAACUGGAAUUAAGAUAAUUCAGUUUUGGAUCAUACAAAGCAGAGAAGUUACCAAAUGUCAUAUCAGGUUUCAAAAAUAGUUUGUGCAAAUCAUCCUCCUUCUGGGAGUUACUUUUCGAUGUGUCAAAAGCAGGCAUGGAAGACCUUCUCUUUGCCACUCUCAAAAUGUUUGCAGCCUCUCAACACACUAAGAAACGCUCCAUGCAUAGUCGCAUGAUACUGCUUGUUGGUUGCCUCUCCAGCAAAGAACACUCUUUCAUUCCAAACACUCUCUGCAAGAAUGUCAUAAUCAUCUCCUGAAAACCCAACAGCAACAUAAGAGUAAGAUCCAUAUGCAAAGUGAUCCUUCCCCCACCAAAUACACACCGCCUGAACAGGAUCCGGAACAACAAUCCCCUUUGGAUUGAAAAUAUCCUUACUCUUCAAUGGUCUGCGACGCCUCUGGCCUUAUCCCAAUCUGUGCUCAUAUUAAAAAAAAAAAAACAGAACUCUUAUUAUACUAAAAAAACAGGGUUUCAACAGACAAUACAAGAAAGUGUUCAUCAAUCGAAAAAGACUGUGAAAACGAACCAAUCAAAUGCUGCACUUAAUUAUAAAUUUCAACCAUAAAAAAAUAAAUUUCAACCGUAAAAAAAAUAAAUUUCAACCACAAAACAAAUGUACUGUAAACCGCGAACCCCAAAAUCUAAAAUAUAAACCCUAAAGCAAAAGGCGAACCCCUCUCUACCUCCUCACUGUGAAGACCUUCAUCUACCUCUUCAUCGGCGGUCACCGAAUUCACCUUCAACCUCGCACCAGAUUGCAACACUCAUACAUGAAGAUUAUGGGAUACUUACAAGAUACGAUUUCCAAUUCACAAACACCCAAGUUACGAUUAGGGCUUUUGGGGGAAGAACGCGUGACAAACUUUGGGAUUCUGUGUUAGAAAACUUAAUUUUUUUUUUCAUUAAAUACAAUAGUUACCCAACUUAUGUUUUCAUUAUAGGCUAAUCUAUUGUUAUUUUUCUUAAUAAUUAUUAGUGUUGAUUAAAUAUCUCCAUGGCCGACAAAUAUUUAAUAUUAUUUUUUGUCUAACUUAUACCGUUUUCAUCGACACUAGUAACAUUCUUUUAUAGCUUACACUCUUUAUGGUAACUAAAUUAUUAUUUUUUUUUUAUAGUGUGAGGUUUAUAUGUUAGAAUGUAAUAUAUUUUAUUAUGUGUCAAGCUAAUUAUCAAAGUGUUUUUAUGAUAAAAUCUAUUCUAAGGUGCUAUAAACUAAUUUCGGAGUUGAAAAAUAAUUUUUAUAAAUCUAAGAUUACGGUUUCUCGGUCACAUAUAGAAACGUGUCGGAUCUUUUGUUCAAUUGAAAGGAAACCUGGGAGUCUCACCAUCAAAGAAAUAUGGUCGACCUUCCUCUUCAAUCACUACUUUGAAAAAACCUUCUUUAAAUCUCUUAUAGGAAGUGGUAAAAGGAUGAAGGAAGUCAUUCUUUGACUGGCCGACUAGAGAUACCCAACCUAUCCGGUCUCCCGGCCUUGUACCAAAAAAAUGUAAAAAAGACCUAGGAGUGGACUUAAGACUAAGCACCUCACAGAGCAACCGAAAAGCCUAGAGCGCAACCCAACUAUUCGGAUGCAACUGCGUGGGAGCUACGUUUAAGACACGCAAUACCUCUAUGGUAAACUCAUCGAAAGGAAAGAAGACAUGAAUGUCUGAAAUCAAACACGAAUAAAAGUAGAAAAAAUCCUUGCAUUCCCUCCCUCUACCCAGACAAACGGUUUCGAGUUCUCGACAUCUACAUAAUGCGAACGCACCAUUCGGCACACCCUUUAAAACAAUAUCAAAAUUCUCUACAAAAUCAUGAAGCAUUGACACCUUAAUAUACUUAAAAAAAAUCUCACGAACCUUGUUGUGCACCCAUACAUACUCUACCUCUCGAGUUUCCUCUCCAUGAUAUGCACUCAAAGAUGAUGACAUAGCAGGUUCAGGAUUAUCUUUACUCAAAGGACCGACAGAUCGAGAAGAAUCCUUUGUACUCUCGGCAUCACUGGGCACAACAUCUAUAGCUAGUGGACUUUUCCUACUUGAACUCCCAGAAUCGAAAGAAAAUAAAGUGGUUACAGAAGGAGAAGACAUGGUUACCUCACAGAAACUCUUCAAAUGAGUAUACACAAUCAAUAAAAGAAGUAUUCAAUUCUCGGAUUCUCAAAGCUAAUUCACGGUUAACACAUGAGAAAUGGAACCCACUACCACCACUAUUUAUAGGUGAAGGAAAGGGCAAAUAUGAACCGUCACACACAAUUUUCACUAUUGGAUCAACUCAAUAUCAACGACCCAGAUCACGUGAACUCACGCUAUCUGACGUCACGCCACGUCCAUAUGCCUCGAGUAACCAAAAUUUUCCACUCAGCCUCCAAGACAUAAAUAGAUUACACACGUAAUGGAUUACGUGCACAUUCGUAUUUAUCUCACGACCUCUCAGCUUCUCGGCUUCUCAGCUAUCCCAAUUCUCUUAGACUCUACGUUACAUUUCCAUAAAUUCACUUGAGUCUUGGGAGCAUAUGACUUAGGAAAGACGUACACCUAAAGACAAAACAAUUUUUCUUUCUUAAAGACUCUACGUUACAUUUCCAUAAAUGUACGCAAGCCUGGGGGGCAAAUGUAAUAUCGGGAUGCCGAGAGGUCGAAUAGUCGACAAGAUUGAACGAACUUGGAAGCAGAUGAUUGUUGGGUAUGAAGUCAAGACCAAUUGGGUUGGGUUGACAAGACACCAUGUACACAGUUGAAGCGCAGGUGAACAUUGUUCCGUGACUUCAAGUGGGAGAUUGUUGGAUAUGAAGCCAUGACCAAUUGGGUUGGGCUGAGUAGACACCAUGUUUUAGUGAGUGGACUUAAUUAUUGGGUCCCUUUAUUAUAUCUAUUUAUCUCUAUUUAAAGAGAUAAUUGUACUUGUAAUUGACGUGCAACAGGAUAGAAUGAAAACCUAAUAGUUGCCCCUGUGGAUGUAGGUUGUAGUUGGCGACCGAACCACGUUAAAUCAUGUGUUCUUUAUUUUCUGCAGUUGAUUUGUGAUUUUGUGUGUUGCUUCCGCGUGCGUUUUUCCCAUCAAGUGGUAUCAAGAGCCUUGGUUCGUUUACACACCAGAGAUCCGAUCAGCAAAAAUUAAUCAACGAGACGUGAAAAUUGCGGUUGCAGUAGCAUCCCAAAACUAGGGUUUCACAGUGGCUGCAGUAGCAUCCCAAAGUUAGGGUUUCGUAGGGCCUGCAGUAGCAUCCCAAAGUUAGGGUUUCACAGAGGCGGCAACAACAUCCCAAAGCUAGGGUUUCGCAGGGGUGACAACGACAUCCCAAAGUUAGGGUUGCAUGUGCGUUCUGCAGGUGUGCUGGUCUGAGACGACACGGAGUGCAAUGCGACAGUGGUGGUGCGGAGCGCGAACAGCGGCGGUGCGCGUCCUGGUAGUUACGGUCCAGUGCGGCGGAGCGCCAGUGCAUUGGGGACUGCGAUUGGUGACUGAUUUUGGGUGGUGCAAUUUUUGUGGUCUUUAUUUAAAAAAAAAAGGAUUGCCAAGAUCUGAAAUUAGUUGUACCGAGUAUCUCGACUAGUCGUUUGACAUGGCAGAAAACGGGAAGUUCCGAAUUGAAAAUUCGAUGGUACAAAAUUCAGUUGGUGGAAAAUGCAAAUUGAGGAUUGGCGAGUUCAGUUACUGAGCACAUCAAUAUAAUCUUAGCCAGACUUACGUCAGUGGGCAUUAAGUUCGAUGAUGAAGUUCAAGCUUUACUAUUGCUAUUGUUUUUGCCUGACAGUUGGUCCAGAAUAGUUACAACAGUUAUCAGUUCAGCGGGAUCCGAUGGAUUCACUUUUGAGAAGAUUCAUGAUCUCAUUCUUGGCGAGGAUGUCUGAAGAAAGAGUUUUGGGAAAUUAUGUAGUGAAUCGCUAUAUGUCAACAGAGGUAAGAGAAAUAUCAGAGAUAGUGGGAGCAAGAACAAAAGAAGGAGUCAGUCAAAGACUUGGGAUUGCUCAAGUGUAACAUGUUGGAACUGCAAGAAGGUGGGGCAUUUCAGGAUUACAGAAGUACAUGUACACAGUUGAAGUGCAGGUGAACAUUGUUCCGUGACUUCAAGUGGGAGAUGUUGGGUAUGAAGUCAAGACCAAUUGGGUUGGGCUAACAAGACACCAUGUACACAGUUGAAGCGCAGGUGAACAUUGUUCUAUGACUUCAAGUGGGAGAUUGUUGGGUAUGAAGCCAUGACCAAUUGGGUUGGGCUAACAAGACACCAUGUACACAGUUGAAGCGCAGGUGAACAUUGUUCUAUGACUUCAAGUGGGAGAUUGUUGGGUAUGAAGCCAUGACCAAUUGGGUUGGGCUGAGUAGACACCAUGUUUUAAUGAGUGGGCUUAAUUAUUCGGUUCCUUUAUUAUAUCUAUUUAUCUCUAUUUAAAGAAAUCAUUGUACUUGUAAUUGACGUGCAACAUGAUAGAAUGAAAACCUAAUGGUUGCCCGUGUGGAUGUAGGUUGCAGUUGGCGACCGAACCACGUUAAAUCAUGUGUUCUUUAUUUUCUGCAGUUGAUUUGUGAUUAUGUGUGUUGCUUCCGCAUGCGUUUUUCCCAUCAAUGAUAAACCAUAAUUAAGCAUAAUUAAGCCAGUUUAGUCAUAGAUCAUGAUUAAGGCACAAAUGGACCUUCGUCUGAGCCCAAAAAAAGGCCCAUGACAGUUGAAGUCCAACAGAAAGCUAUAAAUAUCAAAAGGGACCCAAUGUUAGGGGUAAUUUUCUGAUCCCUAAAUCACUUAUAUAUUAUACUCGGACUGACUUGAGCGUUGGGGUAUCCCACCCUGCUCACCGAAGAAGAAAAGCAUCAAGCAUAUAAACUGCAAGGACAAGAAGACGGAGAUUCUUGAAGUCACUCCAGGCGGAACCCGAUCUUGUAAGAAGAGUUAGAAAAUACUGAUGGUCAUACACGAUUUCUUUUCUCCUUCACCAAGUAAUUACAUAACGAUGUUUUACGGUCACAGUUUCGCCAUAACUACGUAGCAAACAUAUUUCUUGAUUCCAAUUCAGGUAUUUGUUUGUUGCUUCUUUUCUUCCUUUAUAUUACUUUUACGAACCAAAACACACAACAACCGUAUUUUUCUUUUCUGCAAACAAUUUUGUGUUGUUUAUGACUCCUUUUCUAGUUCUAUUAUUGCAAAAAUCAUAAUAAUGGUUUCUGGUGUUGGGUUUCGAACUUUCUCUCUGGAGAUGGUGUUGCUGUUCCUGUUCCUGUUGACAAUGACAAACCCUCCUCACAAUGUUCACUAUAGAAAGGUGGGAAAAUGCUAAACUUUGCUUGAAAGCAUGGAAUACGUAGAUGAUAAUCUAAGAAUAAUUCAAUGCAAAUUUUGUUUAAAAACCAUACCACAAGGAAGUUUAUCGUUUGAAACAUCACUUGGCUAACCCAAGAAUUAAAAAGAAAUACUUGAUGUUAUUGUGACUCUAUAACAAAGAUUAAAAAAAAGUUUGAUAUUGAAGAUGAUGAUGUAGAAACUAUAAAAUGAAAAAGGACGAAGAUGUAGGGAACAAUAAAAUUAUUUUCUAAAAGAGGGAAGUAUGACCACAGCCAUAAUUUGUCAAUUAUUCAAAAAGGAUCCAAGAGAAACUACUUGUAAGGAUGUAAAUUUUUUCUACAAAAUUGUCAUACCAUUUUAUGCGUCAAGGUGCAAAAGGAAUUAAGAGAAACUUGAUUUAAUUGUUUAAGGAUUUAAGUCACUUUCAUACACAGUAUUAAGUAUUUGAAGGAAAAUGUUAAGAAAAAAAAAAUACUUUAGUAACCUGCCUUGUCAGAGGACGGAUUGGCAGGUUGACCUUACACUUUUAAUUUUUUAAUUUUAUAUUUUUUAUUAAUUAUAAUAAUUAAUAUAAUUUUUUAGAUAAUAAAAAUAUAAGAAAGAAUAAUAAAAUUAAAAUAAAUUUUAAUAUUCUAAUAAAAAAAUUUAAUAUCUAACAAAAUAAAGUAAAUAUCAAUAAUACUUCAAUGAAUCAAAUAAUAUAUAAAAAAAAUUAAUAUAAAUAAGUUUUAUAUAAAACAUUAAUCACCGCUAAUUUUUAUUAAAAAAAAUAAAAUUUCUCUUUAAAAAUUCCAAAAAUAAAAAGGAUCAACCCCUCUUAUUCUAUCCUUUCCCGUCACGUGUAGGAUUGACAGGUUAAAAGAGCCUAUCCAAUUUGGAUUGAGAGGUUGAAAAAGGGAACCAAUCCCACGUAAAUAAUGGCGGGCCAACUUCUCGAGCCCGUUUUCUCAUCCUUUAAGGUUCAGAACUUCACUUCUAAAGCACUAAGGUUUGGUGAAAAUAGUAGUGUGAUAUUGCAAUCAUUUAAGAAAGUAAGUAGAAUGAGAAAAUAUCUUAAAUGAAUUCAUGAAAUUCAACCCUCGACGACUAAUAUUUUAAUUUAUGACGUACUAUUGGUUAAAAUUAUUAACAUCUGAAUUAAAUUUGAAUCCUAAUUUUAAUGAAUCAAUGUUUUUAAGUUGUAGUCCUAAAUGCACAUGGUGUAAACAAAAGCAAAUAUGUUGGGAAAACUAUACUCAGAUUUUAAAUUUCACUUGUCGUAUGAUUUGAUUUACUUGCCAAAUUCUUAACAUAGAUCCAAGAGUUAACUAAUAUUUAAGCUACAAUGUAUAAAUGUAAUAUAAGUUUAACCACACUUGUUCUUUAUUUAUUCUUUGUUGUAAAACGGUAACAUCUCUUCUGUCUUUAUAUUUUAUUUUGAUUCCUUUAUUAAUAAAAAAAGAAAAUUGUUAUGUGUAUACAAAUUCUUCAAUACUAGGUAUAAUGUUGAAAAGAGCAAAUAUUUAUUUAUGGUGAAGUAGACAAAGAAAUUAUUGAUCACAAUAUAAUGUUUAGACCAUAAAAAGAUAAGAUGAGCUAAUGUACUAAUACAAAAUUAUUUAAUAAAAUUGAAAAACUAAUCCAAAUUAAACCAAACUGAUUUGUUGUGGUUUAAUUUGAUUUGGUUUAAAUUUAUUUUAUGUUCAAAUUAAAACUGUAUGUAAUUUUAUAUUUGAUUCAAAUGUAUUUUUUAACCAAAAUUAAUUAUAGAAUUAAUGUUCCGAAAGAAAAUAAAAAAUAUUAUUGUCUUCCUUUCUAAAAAGAAAAGAAGUGGUGACAAAAUUGUGAGGAAUAUUUGAGCUAAUAUCUCCUAGUCACGGUGUAGAAAAUAAUAAAUGAAAUAAUGGUGGCUUUUGCGGUUUGGCUUGGUGGCUGUGUAAUGAGAAGUUAAGUAUGUUGUGUGAAUUCAUGAAGCCUAGGUAAACUAUACAAGCUCUAAUAUUCUUGUUGAUACAAAAAUAAUUAAUAAAAGAAAGAAGAUAAGGGACUGAACUCCAAAUAACAGUAAAUAAUGGAUGAACACAAAAUUUAUUGAAGUUUCAAAUCAAACACACUUUUUCGAAAAGGAGGGGUGGCAGAGAUGAUAUUGUUACGAAGUUCAAUCUUCAGAGUAUUUAACUUCAGGGACUCACAUACAUACACACAGAACAUAUCUAACUUCAUUGCACACACCAGAUGGCCGUGUAGGUCCACGUUAUUCAUAUUUGAAUCACUCAAGAAGAAAAAACAGAGACAUAAACUUUUGUUCAUAAUACUUGUAGUUACCAUCAUUUUCCCUCCACUUCUUAUUCCAAUGCAGAAAUCCCAGUUAUCCUAAAACAAAUAAAGGCACAGUUAUAUAUAUAUAUCUUCAAGUUUAACUAAUUUGUUUCAAAUAAAGUAAGCCAAUACAAGGACAUGCCAUGACAUAAUGACAAUUACAUUAAACCCUUCUCAUGUGACAUGUUGUUUUAUGCAGCCCCUUAUUAUGAAAGGGUAUCUUGUAAGCAUCAUCAAGGGUUCUGAGUAUUGUCAGUUCUAUGCAGCUAAUGGUUUUUAUUCUGUUUUAUUUAAUUACCGAUUUUAACUUCAAUUUGGAGUGUUUUAUAUAAAUAUACAAAAAAGAAAUUAUCAAACACUAGUAACAUUUAUAUCCUAAAAGGAAAGUAAAAAGUGUAGUAUGCAUGUCAUGCAGGAACACAUAUCUUGCACUUACCAGACGCCUUCAGGAAGAAGAAGAACUUGAGAUACUCAUUACUGUUUUUAUGACUGAUGGAUUACCUGAAUAUAUGAGAGAAAGUGAGUUGAUAGGAAAAACUAUAUAUAACUAGGUAGUGAACCGGACCGGUUCAUUCAUGACGUCCAAUGAAAAAGGUUGCAAAUUGCCCUGACGGUAAGAGGGCUUAAAUUGCUGUUGGUAUUAAAAUUCUUCGUUUUCUCUAUGUAACUGGUCCUUCUCACUUUUAGCCUUUUCAAUUAUGCAACUCAAACAAAAUAUUUGGCUUAUAUUUGAGUGUCACCAAGAAAUUAGGCUUCACUAUGGAAAAUAGCUAUAGACGGAGAUCUAAGCUUAUGGGUAUCCGACGCCUAAUGUCUUCCAAGUUCAACAUCAAUCAUCCAUGAAACAAAACCUAUUGCUAAAUAAUACAAUAUAUUCUAAUUUAUUUGGGGUUAGAGAAGAAAAAGAAGAAUAUAAUAAUGCGAUAUUCAUGCUUGAAAUAAGAAAGAAUAUAUUUUACUUUCAUUUAAAAUUUUUAGUAUAAUAUUGAAAACAUUAUUAAAAGUAUUUUGAAGUAAUAUAUGACAUCAUUGUAAUAAAAAAUGACAAAUAUAAAAAAAAUAACAAUUCAAUUGGGAUGAUGAAUUCCUACCUGUUUGUGAAACAACUGACGGAUUGUUGCGUUGAGAUCUCCGUGGAAGGUUAAAUCAGAAGAAUCCUUCGAUGUUUUAAUUCCAAAAAACAUUGGCACUUUUAUGACUCCUUCGGAGAAAGUUUCCAUUUUAGGGCAUUUGGCUACUAUUACCUUUUUCAAAUAUGAGCAAUGCAAAGUGUUAUUCCCUGAAUAAAACCUUACUAGCCUUGGUAAGCAAUUCAGCUCAAUUGAUCUUAGUCUUCCAAAUACCAUUUCCUCACAAUCAUCUUCAUCUUCAUUUUUUGCAAUUUCUUUUAUUGAUUCACACUUCUUUAUAUGUAAGGUCUCAAGUUUCACCAAACUUUUGAGUGUUGCAAAUGUGAAUAAAUACUCCAUCCUUUCACACUUCCUCACAGAUAACUUUUGAAGAUUAAUGAAAGAUACUGCAGACGAAACUAAUUUUUCUACCUGAGGGCACUUGUUGAGACCUAAUAAUUCAAGUUUUUCACAGUAUGGUUGUACCCAUGGAUGCUCUAAACCAAUCCACUCUAACUCAUUUAGUUCCAACAAGCAUAAUUGUUGCAAUUUCACUAGUACUGUGUCAUGAACUUUAAUCUUUUGAGAGGGAAAUAUCUCCUUCAGACCAAAGCAUUUUUCUACAAUAAGAAGUACUAAAUUGGGUACCUUAUGAAAGAAAUCAAAAGGCAAAGUACCUUUCUUAUUGUUAUCCUCAAAGUAAACUAGAAGACAUAUUAGUUUACAAAGAAGGUCUUGUGGCAAAUGUGCAUAGCUCAUAAGCUUAAUGUUUUCCUCAUUGAGUGCUAAUACCACGAGUUUGGGAGAAACCUAGUUUUUGAAGUCAAAUAAGUUCGAAAGGUAAUGUGUGCUAGUUAGAUACUAUAAGAGGAAAAUAAUAAUGAAAACAAGAGAAAGUGUAAAAAGGUAAAGUUCUGAUGCUUCGUUACCUU